rnacentral:lncRNA from 1 species
AUACGUUGAAGUUUAUAAAGUGGUCAUAAAAUAUAUUUGAUUUGAUUCUCGGUGUUUAGAUAAAAUAUGUUUAAAGUUAUCAAAUUUGUUUAUGUUAAAAUUAUCUUUCUUUUUUUUUCUUUUUUCGCAAUGAAUAUUGAUGGUCGAUUUCUUUUUGCAAUGCAUACCGAUGGUCGUCGGUUUGAAGGCCAGUUUCAUUAUAAUUGGGUUAAACCUUGUUCUCUACACACUGAUUGUCCAGAUGAUAUGUGCAAGCCUUCUUUCGGACCACUAUGUAUUGAGUGGAUGUGUAAGUGUCGAUUCAAUAAAAUAGAAAACUAAGAGAGUACAUAAACUCUUUCUUAGAAUAUUUCAUAAGUUAUUCUCUAGUUAUUGUAUUGAUACCCAAUAAAAAAUUUAGUUAUGAAUUUGUAUUAAUAUUUUAUGGUAACAAAAUAUCCUUAAUAGUUCAGUUUAAAAUUAGUUUUUAUGUUAUUUUUAAAUUUAUAGUUCAGGAGGUCGGACACUGAUAGAGAAAAUUAAAAACAAAAAAACUCUAUAUUGGAUGGUUGCCGAGAAGCCCAAUUAUAUUCAUCAAUACUCCAUUCUUAAUUUUAACUUAAAAUCUUCAUCCCCAACAUAAAAGAAUUAUUGUCGUGCAUGCCUUAAAAAAAUUCAUUUACAAAUAUGAAACUCAUAUAACUUGUUGCAAACUAGAGUGGUGUUAGAGUCAACAAAGUCAGGUGGUUGGUCCAUGUAAACCUCUUAUUAGAGAUCCCCAUUGAGAAAAGUAGUGUUGAUAUCAAUUUUUUGAAUUUUCCACUUGUAUGUGAUAAUGAAGGAAAAGAUAAUUCGAAUGGUGGUUAGUUUUACCACAGGUGAAAAUGUUUCUUGAAAAUCAAAUCUUUGUUAGUGAUUGAAUCCUUUUGCUACUAUGCUUGCUUUGUAUUUGUUAACACUCUCAUCUAGAUUUUCCUUUAAUUUAAACACCCACUUACGCCAUAUGUUUUUCUUAUUAGGUGGAAGUGUCAUUACUACAUAAAUACCAUUUCACCACGGUUGGAAAAUAAAUACUAUCAUGGUUUCUUAUUUGGCGGCAAACCUAACAAUAAGUAGAGAGAUAAAGAUGAUGGGAAAAACAAAGAGUGUCUCUAUUCCAUGUCUUAGAGAUAAAAUUGUUAAGGGAAGUCUCUAUGGAGAAUAUCACAACAAAAAUGUAGGCAAAACUCAAAAAUGUUAGAAUGAAGGAAUAAGAUUCCAUUGUGGAGGAAUUGUCAUGGUUCAAAAAAAAUCAGUGAUGACUUGCAAAAUAUUGAAGUGAAGAUUGACAAUGAGAACAUAUCUCUACCCUUGUUGAAUUAAUUACCUAAAUCCUUUAAAAAUUAUAAGGAUGCUUUUGUUUUAUGUUAAGGAUGACCUUAUCACCUUGGAUGAGGUCCAAUUGACGGUUAGAACAAAGGUUUUAACAAAGGUGAAAAAGUUUAUGGUUGAUGAUAAUGGCGAGGACUUAAAUUUUUCAAGAGGGAAAAUGAGAUUAAAGGAAACCAUAAGAGGGAAAAAUUUAGGUCUAAGUAAAAUUCAAAGGGUAUUUAUAAAUCAAAUUAUAAUGGAUUUUUCCAACAAAGGUUGCAAUGAGAGUUUUGUUGAGAUUAUGGUUGCCUCGGAUGACAAGUUGGGAAACUGAAAAGAUUUGGGUCAUGUAUUCUAUAAUAUCCAUAUCCUCUUAAAUAGUUUAUUCUUUGUUGGUUGGGAAAAAUUGAGUAAUUAGUAAACUAAUAUGAGACCAAUUCUUAAUCAAUUCUCUUAAUCCUUACUAAUUGAUAAAUGGGGACAUUUUGGUAAACUUGAUAAAUGGUAUUUUUGAGAAAAUGAGAUAAUGACAAGGGUAAAAUAGUCAAUUGUCCACUAAAUGACAAAAGAUCAUUUUACAUAUCAUUUCCCUUCGUCUCAUACCAUUCAUUUAAUAACUUUGUUAGUAAGAAAGCAAGAGAAAGAAGAAUUGAAGAAGAAUAGCAAAGGCUUGGAUUAAGAAGAGGAAAGGAAGGAUUCAUCUUAAUUUCAUCAUCUUCUUCUUCCGAUGAGGUGGGUUCCUAGUUAGUCUUAGCUUUAGGGGAAAAUUGCAUGGAAUUUGGAAGUUAGGGUUUUGAAAUUUAUGUUCAUGCAUGAUCUUCUUCUUCCGAUGUGUGGAUUGGUACUUGAUGAACUUUCAUCAUUUCAAAUCUACAUUCUAAGUGAUCAUGAAUCAUUUAAGGUACUUUGGAUUGAUGCAUACAUUUGUCUUAAGUGUCAUGAAGUGUAGAUUGAAGUAAUGGACCAUCCUUCUAUCCUUUGUGCUUGAUCAUCCCUUUUCUUUCUUUUUUUGUGUGGCAUGACUUUAGGAGAAUGAUUGACGUAUCAUUUCUCUAGCAUGUAUUAACACAAACAUUAUUGUUGACCGACCUCAAAUAGUUGUGACUUCUACAUAAGUCCAAUUACGCUUGCUUAACAUAGCGCUAAAUUUGUCCCAAAGACAAUGGUAUUUUUAUAAGUGAGACUGUAAGUCUCAUAUUCCUCAUGAUAUUGUAUGGAAAUGUUGCUCCUUUUCCAUUUGUGAGAGUUAGUGACAUACUUGUUGAUUUUAUCCAAGUUGGAGCCCUUAUCACAAAUGAUGUAUAAGUUCAUAUUUUCAUGCUUGUGAGUGGAUAGUUGAGUGCUCUCCAAAAAAUGACCAAAAACUUCUUUUCAUCUUUACUAACAUCCCUUACUAACUCUUCACUUGUAUUAACUUCUAUUUUAAUAUCAUUUACUUUAUGCUUUUAUUUUUAUGUCAACUACUUUAUACUUUAUAUUUAGAAUUUCUUAUCAUAUUUGUUUGUGAUUAUGUCAUUUUGUUCUUUUUCCAUUUGAACCUUUCUUUUAUAUCAUUGUUAAGAAGAAACUAAUAAAAAAAACUAAAACUAAUAUUGUUUCUCCUAACUCAUGGACUUGUGGUUACCAUCCUUGGCAUCAUUGUGGAGUUAUGUACUUAGAAUUAGGAUCUUGACCCUUGCUUUGGGACUUGUGACUUGAGACCUUAAAGCUCAUCUGAUACCUAUGACUUUGGACUUCUCUGUGAAGACUUGGCUUGGUUACUUUGGUUUCAUCUGAUACAUGGAUUAUUAUUUGCUUAUCUUAUUUUGUUUGAGGCUUAAUCCAAAGGAGGGGGUUCUUGUUUGACUUAUGUCAUAAAUCUUGCUAUCUCUUGGUUAGAUUUUGCCUCCCUAACUUUUACUUUAUACUUUAGGAUAGUCUCUUCUUAUCCUCCCCUUCUUUAAUUUUCAAAAUCUUCUCUCUCUUUUCAAAACCUUAUUGCUUUUUAACUUGAACCACUUUCUCAGUAAACCUUGACUUUUUUCAAGUGAUUUUUAAAAACCGUUUUCUUGAUAAAUGUUAAUCCAUCUUAAGCAUACUCAGACCAAUUUCAAAAGACUAAAAAUGCAUAACUCAUUCAAACCAUUUUGUGCCCUUGUGCACUUUUCUCUUUAAAACUUUCCUCAAGGAAUUAGACAUGAGUCAUUUCCAUAGUUGAGUUAUAAUUCUCCUAUCUCCAUAAUAUUGAUGAUAAUCCUUUUCCAUUUGCGAGAGCUAGUGGCAUACUUGUUGAUCCUCAUCCAAGUUCUCAUACUUAUGGGUGACUAAUUGAGUAUUCUCCUUAAGAUAACAAAAUGUAUUUUCCAUAAAAAUCAAUCAAAACAAACUCCCAUUGAUAUUUUUACCAUGAACUACGAGGUUUUGAUCCUCCAUUGCACUUUGUUAGUACGUAGGCAUGAGACUUCAAAAGUCUUGGUAAACAUAGAAAUAAAGAAAAAUGCUUCUUUUCCUAUCUCUCCAAUCUUUUAACAAACAACACUUUUUUUCAAACCAAAAUGUACAUAUUUUCAAAUAGGUUCCCAUGGAGUACCAUGGAUGUUUAGGGUGCUAAUACCUUCCAUUUGAAAAACUAACCCCCGAACCCUUGUUCUCUUUUUAUUAGUUUUGUUUUAAAAAAAUUUCUUCGAGUUUUGUUCAUACUUUUUCCAUUUUCCUUUGGAAACAAUAAAAGCGUGGUGGCGACUCUUGCUUUGUGAGUUAAGUUAAUCAAUAGCUUAAUCUUAAAAAAUUUACCGCUACAGGAAAGUGGCGACUCUGCUAGGGAGUAGACCCUAGUGGGUUAAUCCCAUCUUUAUUUUUUAUAUAUAUUAUGUUUACUGUUGUUUGUUAUUGCUUGUUCUGUCUGGUACUUGGUGAUCUCUGUGUAGUGAGAUAAGUCAUAUACCCGGAAUUGAGAGCUCUUAUGAUAGGAGGGUAGUAUAUUCAUGUUUGGAUUACGUGGAGUUAAUCCUUAAUAAGCUGACUUGAGAUCCCCCGCUUAGUGGAGGCCCCUUUGGGAUUAUUAAUGCCAUACGAGUAGUCGUAGUUGGCAUUACUUUUUACGACCUGGGAGCUUGAGAACCUGAGGAUCUUAGAACCUUAACCCAUCUUGUCCUUUUAGGACGUAGUGCGGUGGCUACUCAGGUGUAGACUUGAAUUAGUUAUUAUGCGAUACUACACUCGGAUGAGUUUCUCUUGAGAAUAUUAUUGGUUGACAAGUAGUCGUAUAAACCGAUAAUAUCCAAAAGAUGGAAUUACGACUCUGGGAACUAUUUAGAACCUUGUUCUACAGGUGAUUAUAGCCUUAUUACAUAAAUUGUGGGUUGGUUAUUACCCUUGGCUCCAUGCUCGUGACUCCGAACCUUUGGACCUUGUUUGUGUGACCUUGUUUGUGAUUAUUGCAUCAUGCACUUAUGGCAUUCAUAAGAAUUUUACUCAGUUUUAAAGGAACUUAGGGACUCUUGUUGCAAACAUCGCAAAUAUUUUGAUCAUGGAUAUUGGAAGGAGGAACACCCGGAAAUACAGUUUCAGAUGUCCCGAUCUCAUGGAAUUAAGGAAGCUAGCAUCUUUAGUGGAUGAUCCUAAGGGUUUCAGAGACCGUUUUGGAAUACUUUUAUCUGUGCUAUCUACUGAUGUCGAGGAUGGUUUUCUCUGUACUUUGGUUCAGUUCUAUGAUCCUGUUUACCGGUGCUUCACUUUCCCUGAUUAUCAGUUGUUUCCUACCAUGGAGGAGUAUGCUGAUCUUUUGAGUAUACCAGUUUUUGAUAAAGUUCCUUUUAGUGGGGUUGAAGGAAUUCUUAAAUCUCGGGUUAUUGCCGAAGCCAUUCAUCCGAGGAAGUCUGACAUAGAUGACAAUUUCACUGUCAAAGGGGGUACUAGAGGAUUGACUUUUAAGUUUCUAUUGGAAAAGGCCUUUUCUUUUGCUAAUGAUGAUAGCAUGGUGGCAUUCAAGACUGUUCUUGCUCUACUCAUCUAUGGUUUGGUUUUGUUUCCUAACAUUGACAAUUUCGUUGAUGUUAAUGCUAUGAGAAUAUUCUUGAUUAGGAAUCCGGUUCCAACUCUACUCGGCGAUACUUAUUUCUCCAUUCAUUAUAGGACUUAUAAAGGGGGUGGAACUAUUGUUUGUUGUGUGUCUUUACUGUACAAUUGGUUUAUUUUGCACUUGCCGCAGUCCCCUAUCUUCCAAGAAAACAAGGAUUGUUUGAGGUGGUCUCAAAGACUUAUAUCUCUCACCAAUGACAACAUUACUUGGUACUCUUCUGUCUACGACGACGUCGAGAUUAUUGAUAGUUGUGGGGAGUUUUAUGGUGUGCCUCUUCUUGGUACACAAGGAGGAAUCAACCACAAUCCGGAUUUGGCAAGACGUUAACUUGGGUUCUCUAUGAAGAACAAACCUAAUAACACUUUGUUAGAAGGCUUAUUUUUCCAAGAAGGGAAAGACACUCAAGGGUUGAAAGAUAGGAUGGUGCAUGCUUGGAACAAUAUUCACAGGAAAGGAAAAAGUGAGCUUGGAUUGAAGAAUUGUGUAGAUUUGAAGCCUUACACUAGUUGGGUGAAGAAGAUAGCAAAAUAGUUCAAGAUGUUAUACGCUUAUGAAAGACCUAUGUCCUUAAUAAUGGUCAAAUCUCCCACCAUUAAAGGCAUAGAGGAGUUGCAAGAGGAUUUGUAUAAGAUGAAGCAAGAGAGAGAUGAUUGGGAAGACAAAUUUCACACCUCACACCUCGAGAAAGAAGAAUUGCAGAAGAAACUUAAGGAAAAGGACGACUUGAUAGAAUUACUCGAGCAAUAUGCUGUGAAGAGAUCUAGAGGCCAAGAGGAUUUAUUUUCCUCUAAACGUUGAUCAUAUACUCAUCUUCCUACUUCUGGCGUUUGGAAAGGAAUUGUAGACCAGCUCGUGAUAGAGAAGGAUGCUAUGAAAAGCAGCUACGAAAUAGAGAUCAAAAGACUUUGCAAGAAGUGUCAUCUUGGAGUUGGGUCGUCAUCGGACAUGAUUCCAUAGAUCUAGUUUCUUUCUGUUUAUGGUCAUUGAAAUUGUAUUUAUGAUUGUAAUUCUUUAUAUUAUUAAUAAAAUGAGAUUUUCAGUACAUCAAAAUGCGUUAUUCCAAUUAUGAUGAUUGCAAUUUACCUCUUAAAAGCUCCUUGGAAAAUAAACAAUAAUAACAUUCACAUUUUCAUAUCAUGCAUCAUGUUGCAUCUUGGUCUUGCUUUGAGCAAGUUCGCCAGGGGUCUUAUUUCUUUCUUGGUCUUUAUUCAGAGAAGCUCUCUCACCAUACAAUGCUCGAGCUAAUCAGUUAAAAAAGAUGGACCACCUCGAGCAAGAGAAUCGUGAACUCCGUGAAGAGGUGACAACUUUGAGGGACGAAUAUGAAAGGCUUACUAUUAUGAUGGAAGCUUUGGCGGUUGCUCAGAAUUAGCCUCCACCUCCUCCUCCUCUGACUCUGCUUCAAAGGACCGUGAUUUCCGAGAUUGUCUCUACGCCUAUCUCGUGGCUCCCAUCAGUGCUCCAUAGCACCACAUUCCUUCUGGUUUCCCUUGGGGCAUGCCUCCCAGCUUUGUGCCUGAAGGAUACCAACCGGAAGUUCCAGUGGCUCAACUGUGAUGUUUGUACCACCUUCUGUGGUUCAUGUUGUUCCUUGUGUCGAAGAACCUGUUUUUUACGUUGACCAAAUCGAAACUGUCGAUGUUUAUGAAAGAAUGGAUGAGUUCCAAGAUCAAUUUCAGGCUAUGCAAAAAGAGAUUCAAGCUUUAAGGGGGAAAUAUCUGUUCGGGAAGAAUGCUCAUGAUUUGUGUUUGGUUCCUAAUGUGAAGAUUCCACACAAGUUGAAAGUUCCAGAUUUUGAGAAGUACAAAGGAAAUUCUUGUCCUCUUAGUUAUCUGGUGAUUUACACUCGUAAGAUUUCAACUCAGAAUGACAACCAUCAAUUGUUGAUCAACUCCUUUCAAGAUAGUUUGACUGGUGCUGAUCUGAAAUGGUAUAUGGGGCUCGAUAGUACUCAGAUCAGAACGCUCAACGACCUAGGUGAGGCUUUUGUUCGCCAGUACAAAUAUAAUAUUGACAUGGCACCAGGAGGGGAUCAAAUUUGUGCUAUGUCCCGCAAGGAAAAGAAACCUUCAAGGAAUACGCGCAAAGGUGGAGUGAGAUCGCUGCACAGGUUAGUCCUCCGUUGGACGAGAAGGAAAUGACAAAGUUUUUUUUCAAGACUUUGAAUCUGUUCUAUUACUACCGGAUGAUAGCAAGUGCGCCUAAUGAAUUUAUCGAAAUGGUGAAUAUGGGUUUGAAAUUAGAAGAAGGUGUCCGUGAAGGACGGUUGAAAGAAGGUAGUUCAUCUGAUGGUUCUAGGAAAUAUGGGAAUGGUUUACCCAAGAAGAAGGGACAUGAUGCAAACACUAUCUCUCAAGAGAGACGUAGAAGUGUUCCAAGGAACAGUCAACAUUAUCAGCACGUGACGUCAUUUACUCUAGUGAUUAAUUUUUCUCUACUUGCUCAAGCAACAUCGAGUUAUCAACCGUGUUUCCAGCAAUGCACAAAUCAACAAAAUCAACAGAAUCAUGCUUAGAGGCUUGUACAAUUUGACCAUAUUCCAAUGACUUAUGCGGAGUUGUUUUCGACUUUAAUUUAGAAGAAUUUGGUGCAGACAAGAACUCCACCGGCUGUUCCGAAAGAGAUUAUGUGGUUGUAUAAACCUGACCAACAUUAUGCAUUCCACCAAGGAGCACCUGACCAUGAUAUUGAGAAUUGUUUUGCUUUGAAGGCUGAGGUAAGAAGGUUAAUGCAAAGUGGUAUUUUGUCAUUUGAAGAUUCUAAUCUCAAUGUACAAGCUAAUAUGCCGCCCAAACAUAGCAAUACAACUCUGAAUAUGGUCGAAGGAUGUCUUGGAAAAUACCGAGUUUUUGACGUCAAUCUAAUCAGAAGAUCCUUGGUUGAAAUGCAAACUACUUUAUGUGAAUUGAGCUAUUAUGAGCAUGACCAUACUUCUUAUCAAGUUUGUUCCAGAGAUCCUCGAGGAUGUGUUGUUGUGAAAAGAGACUUGCAAGAGAUGUUGGAUAAGAAUCUUAUUCAAGUUAUGAGAGAUAGAAAUGAAUAUGAGCAUGAGGUUAACGUUAUAAUUCCUUAUUUUAAUCUCCCAUGACCGGUUGUGAUUGCAUAUGAUGGUCAAUAGACUGUUGUCUCUUUGUUGGUUAUUCGUUUGGUGGGUCUUAUGCCUUAGGAGUCUGAUAAAGAUGUGCCUUACAAGUAUAAUACUACUAUGAUAGAAGACGGCAAAGAAGUGCCUAUUCCUUCUUUUCUAUCCAUUGUGAACAUUGCUGAUGUAAGUGGUGUGACCUGAAGUGGUCAGAUAUUUGCUGUUGCAGCUCCUAAGAGGACUGAAGAUGUGGUGAUAGAGAAAUUAAGUCAAGAAAAAAAAUCCUAUUAUACAAGCCGUCUAAUCCAAUAUUGUGAAUCAGAAUGUUUAUCAAGAUGAGGUGUUGAAAUUGAUUAAGAAGAGUGAUUUAAAUAUGGUGGACCAGUUAUUGCACACUCCGUCCAAGAUAUUCGUGUUAUCUCUGCUGAUGAGUUCGGAAGCACACCGAUAAGCUUUACAUAAGGUUCUAGAGCAAUCCAAUGUGGACCAUGACGUGACAAUUUAUCAAUUUGAUGGCAUUGUGGCCAAUAUUACAACAUGUAACAAUUUGAGCUUCAGUGAUUAAGAGCUUCCCCAGCAGAGGAGGAACCACAACUUGGCCCUGCAUAUCUCUAUAAAUUGUCAGGAAGAUGACAUGUCCAAUGUGUUGGUGGAUACUGGGUCCUCUUUGAAUGUUUUCCCCAAGUCUACACUGUCUAAACUUUCUUACUAGGUGUAAGACCCCAAUUUUGACCCUAAGAUCCCUCAUGUUAUCUCAUCAUUUGCACUGGCUUUGGGAUCACCCUUGGCAUCCUCCUUACCCCUCAUUAUUUGGGUUUGUAUUGGGAGAGAUCACCAAGCAUAUUUGAUUGUAACAUACUUUAUUUUUCUUUAUUUACUAACCAAAAUACCAAAAAUAUGUCCAUGUAUAUCUUUGUUUCUUUUGUAGGUAGUAUGUGCAUCCACCUGUGCCCUAUCAAACACACAACUAGGGUUUGAGACCCUCAUGACAAGAGACCAAUCAAUUAAUGGUUCACAUUGGUUAUAAACAUCAUAUAUGGAUCCCCAUUAUCUUCAUUUAUCAUUUUGAUCAAGAAUUCAUCAAGAGUUUGAAGCUUGUUUGUCUUGGAAGCCCUAAUUCAUCUGGGUAUCUUGUGUGACUUCCUCAACAAGUUUCUUCAACAAUUGGUAAAAUAUAUCAAGGUAUACUUCAUUAUACAUCCUCUUAUGCAUAUAUGAUUCUCCAUGAGCUCUAAAGAUCAAGAGAACCUCAAGUUUGCAAGUUGGUUCAAAGAGGUUGACUAAAGAAAGUCAACUGGUCAAAACUGGGGUUCCCUACACCUUAUCUCCUAUAAUUUUUGUCAUAUGAAAAUGAUUCCAAGAGAAACGUUACUCUUUAUGACAUUCCAAACAACUUUCAUGAAAGUCAUUUUUUAUGGUGAACGAUUAUAGGUCAUUUUGUCUGUGCCCUAGUUAGGAGGUCAACUUCCAAGGACCAUAACUUGCUCAUUUUUUAUGAUAUGAAGGCUAUCCAAGUUUCAUGAUCAACUUCAAGAUGUCCUAUCAAACUUUGUUUCUUUGAGAAAUGUCAAAAUAAACUUGCAAGGGAAUGUGCCAAGAGGAAACAUUAUAGGUCAUUUUAGGCCAUUACCAUUGAACUAACAAUUUUCCUCAACUUCUAAAAUGCAUAACUCCCUCAUGACAAAUCCAAAUGUGGUCACAUUUGUUACCAAAUUUAAGAUGGAUGAAAUGUCUACAACUUUGGUGAAGAAACCACUUCCAUUUGAAGCUCAUAACAAAAGUUAUUCAAGGUGGAAGAAGUGGUCAUUUGACUUGGGACUUAGAAAAGUUUCAACUAUGUUUGAUUUAUCAAACUUCCACCUUAAAAUUCAUAAUGAUCCAAGCUCCAAAUGGAAACAUUUUCAACAUCAAAGUUGUGUCCCCUUGAUGUCACAUUUCCAAAAAGUCCAAGAUCACUUCAUUUGGAAAAGAUUUUAGGGGCUUUCACAUGGUUCCUUUCAUAGGUAUGUUUUGGCAAGUCUUGAAUUCAAAUAAUCACUUCCUAUUGCAUGCUUACAUAUUGUUGUUUCAUUACUCAUUGUGCAUGAAUUGGAGUUGAGUUGCAUCAUGAAUUAGGCCCAAAUCAUUACCCAUGCAUCCAUGCACCAAUGUUACUAAUUUUGGCAAGGAUUCAUUUCCUUUUCCAUCUCAAUCGGUCACUGCAAGCAAGAGGAGGAAGAACCAAGUGAAUUCAGAUCAAGGUCAAGCCAAUUUGAAGCUACCCGAAGGUGAUUUUUUAGAAACUUUAAGCCUUCGAUUCUAUCUCAAUUCUUCACCAUUCUCUUUGAUUUUUGGUUGGUUGAAGUCCUACUAAUGUAGGCAACAAGAUUGAGUUGCUUUGAGGUCAAAUCGAAGCAACUCAAAUCAUGAACCUCAAAUUUGAAAUCCAUGCAUCUUUCAAUAUACUUGGAAUUGGAUGAAAUGGAGGUCAUAUUCGAGCUCCUGAGCAUUUUUCCUUUAAAAUCAUGUCCACGCUUUUUAUUUUAGUGAAGUUUGGUGGUGGACCAGUCAUGUGAGGUUCACCGGAGAAGAAGACCGGAGCUAGGGCUCCGGUGGUGCGUUGGCACCUUCCCAGCCUUCUGAUUUGUUUCAAACUUUUUAAUCACAAUCUUUGGUUCAAAUUACCAUGUGUGUGGCGUGUUGACUGAAGCACAUUAUCGAUAGCACACACUUGGCCAUCAGAUUUGCCACCUCAAUUAAUGAGGGAGAUCUGAUGAGCCUUGUUUUUUUGUAUUUUUCUGAUUUUCUAUUUAAUCAUUUUAUUUUGUUUAAUUCAUAGAAAUUUUAUUUUUAAUCCAAAAAAUAUGGGACUUUCACCAAAAAUCUUUAAAUAUUUUUCUCUUCCAUAUUUUGAAUUAAUUUUUUUUUGGAUUAAUUUUAAUAUUUUUCAUGAAUUAAAUGUUUUUGUGCAUAUUUUGAAUUGUUUUAAAAUACUUCUGACUUUCUAAAAAUCAUGAAAGUUUUUGUAUAAGGUCCUUUGACCUUGUUUGACCUCGGAUAAAUCCUUUGGAUAUAUAUUUGGUGCUUUGAAGGGAUUUGAGGUUUUGUCCAAAUUAAAAUGCAUUUUAAUUCAUUUUUAAAUUGAUUUUUAAUUGAUUAAAUGUUUAAAUAUUAUGUUGAACCAUUUUUAUGGUCUUGUGAUGUUCAACUUUCUGUUUGGGCCUUGGUCAUGGUUGAUUUGACUCUUGUUUGAUCAAAACCAUUGGAUUUUGGGGAUUAAUGAAAUGUACAUUUCAUCUCCCAAAAUGAAUGGAUGGUAUUGAUCAAAUGGAAUUCGUCUCAUGAUCAAUUUGUGUUUCUUAUUCCCCUUACCUCUUCAUCUUAAUCAUUAUUCUUCCCCAAUCCAUCAUUGACCAAUGAAAUCUCUUCAUGUCUAAUGCUAGUUGAUUCAUCAAUGACCUUAUGUCAAAUGAAUCAACAUGAGUCUGACUGAGAUAGGUCCAUCCCAUUUUCUUUUAGUGUGUGGUAUGUUUUAGGAUUUUGGUUCCUUAUACUAAAUCUCUAAUAUGCAUUAACACCUAUAUUUUUAUUGCUCGGCCUCAGAUAGUUGUGACUUCUACAUAAGUCAAAUUACGAUUUCUUAACAUAGAGCUAAAUUUGUCCCAUAAGGCAUAACAUUCUAGUAAGUGAGAUUGUAAGUAUCCCAUUCUUCAUGGCAUUGUAUGGAAACUUGACCUUUUUCCUUUCAUGAGAGCUAGUGACAUACUUGUUGAAUUAUCCAAGUUGGAACCCUUCUCAUGGAAGAUGUUUUGGUUUAAGGAUUCAUACUUGUGAAUGAAUGGUUGAGUGUUCUCCAAAGAAUGAGUUAAUCAAUUAAAACUCAACACUAACACUUGACUAAUCAUUGACUAACUCUUAUUCAUUAUGCUUUUACUUUCAAGUCAUUUACUUUAUGCAAUUUAAAUUUCAGUCAUUUAUCAUUCAUUGUCAUUUACAUUUCAUGCAACUUAUUUAUGUUUCAGUCCUUUUCACUUUUCUCAUUUGAGCCAUAUCUUGUGUUUGUAUAUAUUUGUUUGUGUGUUUUGAUUUUGUUUGUGGUCUUAGGACCCUAAAACACCUAAUAAUAACAAAAACCCUAAAAACAAUUUGGUGGACUAUUGGGACUUGAUCUGAACUUUUGGACUUAGAACUAGGUAACAUUCCCUAUGCUAAAGGAUUUGGCCAAUGCCAACAUUUAAGAUUGAGUUAUCCUUGACAGUGACUUUCAUCUGAUGCAAGACCUUGGAUAUCUUUGAUUCAUCUAUUACUCUGUCUUCGGGCUUGAUUGUUAUUUUGUUAUGAUUUUUUAUGACUGAUGUUUUGUUAUGAGUUGAUCAAGGAAUAUUGCAUCUGAUACAUUGGAAGACACUGAAGACUGCUAGCUAAUUGGAGUGCUUGCUUGGAUAUGGCUAUCUUUAUUUGAUGCCUUGAUCUUCAUGAUGUCUGGAUAUUUCUCAUUGCUUAUUAUUUAUUGCUUGUCAAAGUCCAAAGGAAAAUGGGUUUCUAUAUGACAUUCUUGUUUGUUGGAUUGCAUCCCAUUGGUCAGAUCUUUUUAACUCUUAACUUUUAAAUUUUUUUCUUAGGGUAGUCUCUUCAUCUCCUCCCACUUCUUAAAUUUAAAAUCUCUCCCUCUUUUCAAAAACUUUCUUUGCUUGUGAUUUCAAACUUAGGCACGUUUUAAUGAUUAGAAACUUUGGGCGUAUGCUAUUGAAUUUUUAAAACUUUUUCUUAAAUCAAAAUUGUAAAUAAACUUAACCAUAUUAACUUAAAUUUCAAAAAGACAAAAAGAACUAACAACCCCAUUCAAAUCUUUGGCCUUUUGUGCUUUUUCAUUUAAACUUUUUAUUAAAACUAAUUCACCAACUUCUUUGAAAUCUUUACCACGAACUACGGGGUUUUGAUCCCUCAUUUUUAUGUUGGUACGUAGGCAUAAGACCGAAGGUCUUGUCAAACACAAAAAUAUAAUCAAUGAAUUCUUUUCUCAUCCCCACACUCUAUAUUUUAUCAAACAUAUUUUAUACGUAAAACAUAUGCACACAAAAAGGGCUCCCUAGGAUACCUAGGAUACUUUGGGUGUUAAUACCUUUCCUUUGUGUAACCAACCCCCUUACCUGUAAUCUCUGGCAUUUUAUUAGUUUUGAUUUGAAAACUUCUUAUCUUUGGGUUUUGUUCGUGCUUUUCCCUUUUCAUUUGUAAACAAUAAAAGCGCGGUGGCGACUCUGGUUUUACUGAUGUUAAGUUUAUCCAUAGCUUAAUGGUCACGAAUUUACCGCUACACCAGGGUGCUCCGAUGAGAUUUAGUGGAGUUGUCGUGAAGGUCUUCGAUGGCUCGAGGAAGACUGUAAUUGGGGAAGUUUAUCUCGCAAUGAAGAUAGGUUCGUGCUUAUUUUAGAUCACUUUUCAAGUUAUGGAUAUUCAUCCCACCUACAGUUAUGUCUUAGGACGUCCGUGGAUUCACGAGGCUGAGGCAGUUACAUCAACUUUACACUAGAAGUUGAAGUUUGUGAAGAAUAGGAAGUUAGUGGUCGUGGGUGGAGAGCAUGAUAUGUUGGUGAGUCAUCUCUCUUCAUUUUCAUACAUUGAUGCCGAUGAAGCUGAGGGAACUUCAUUUCAAUAUCUUUUUGUUGAUAAUAUCGUUGUUAGGAAGAAUGGUGAAUCCAUGUCAUCCUUAAAAGAUGUCCAGUUUGUGGUGGAUAAUGGUCAAUCUGUGAAGUAGGGACAGAUUGUUGAGCUCCGUGAACAAGAACAUAGUUGGUUUGGGUUUUUCACCUGGUGCAACCUGAAGACAUCUGAAGUGAAUUCAAGAAGUGUUUCACAGUGCCGACGUUAUUCAUUAUAAGGAUCAGUCUAUGGGCAUAAUCUUAGAAGACGAUGAAGAGCCAUAAGUGUCAGACUUUAUGACACGUGGAUCGGUGUGCCAGAAUUGGAUUACUUUUGAUGUUCCUUCUGUUAUUCAGUUGUCGAAGUAAUAUGUUUGUUUUUUCUAUUUUCAAAAUCCUUUCACUAUGCCCAAGGUGAAAGUGAAUCUAUGUGGGUUUUGUUUCAAAUUUCAUUAUCAUUAAUAUAAUGUUAUUUCGUUUAUCCAUAUUAUGUUUUUCCUUUUUGAUUAUUCUGGAAAAAUGGUAACAUCCAAAACAAAAUAAUAAUCACUUUUAUAUCUGCAUCACAAUGUGCGUUUAUUUGUUUAUAUUCUAAAAUCAAGCAUAAAAUCAUUGUGCAGAUUAAUUGUUAAACCCAUUGAAAAUAAUGCCCAUAUGCCUUCUCCCAACUUUGAGUUUCCUGUGUUUGAAAUGGAAGAAGAGGAUGACGAAGAGAUUCCUGAUGAGAUUUCUCGGUUGCUUGAGCACGAAGAGAAAACCAUUCAGUCUCAUAAAGAGCCGUUGGAAGUGAUUAAUCUGGGUUCCAAAGAUAACAAGAAGGUGUCGCAACCUACCUGCGAAAAAAAACAACCGGCGAAAAAGAAAGGACAGAAGAGUCGCCACCGUGCGUUAUUUAUCCCAAAGGAGGGAAAGGAAACGCUCGAAGUAAACCUGAAAAAAGGAAAGGAAAAGACAAGGUCUCGCAACUAAAUCUUGGGUUCGAGAGUCGAUUAUGCGAAGGGAAGGUAUUAGCACCCCUACGCAUCCGUAGUACUCUACGGGAUCCACUCUUGUAGUUCUUAUCUAAAGGGUGUAGGUUUAUCUAAUGUGAUAUUUACUAAAAGAGGGUCAAAAGAAAAUGACUCGCACGGAUGUCGCAUCCACUGCAUACGUAUCCCAUCUGAAUAUGAGAAUCAGAGUCUUCGUAGCUCGGCUACCUAUGGGUUAGGGGGGAGUGUGCUCGGUAAGACAUCGCGUCUUAUGCCUACGUAUCUCAUCUGGAAUGAGAAUCAGGUUAGGGGGGAGUGUGCUCGGUAAGACAUCGCGUCUUAUGCCUACGUAUCUCAUCUGGAAUGAGAAUCAGAGCAAGCCGUAGUUCGGCUAACUACGGGUUAAGGGUUGUGUUUUGGGGUGAACGACAUUUUUACGCAAUCUACCGGAUGCUCGACCUUUGGAGACUUAUUCGCCUGUAGUAGAAGGAGAUAACGUGUUCUUAGGAGAAGAAAAAUCAAUGAGUUGUUGGUGUUUAGGGAUGCUCAUGCAAAAGGGGUAAUGAGGAUAAGACCUCAUAGCUCUUAACCCUGGACAGGGUGAGCUCAUGACAAAAAGUGGGGGUUCAAAAAGGUGGAACCCUCUCCACUGACCGGCCGGACAAGAGAUCUGGGGUUUUUGUUCUGAAGCAUUGACGCGUAGUGUGGUCUUAAAGAACGAAGCACUGAAUAACGGGGGAUUGAUUAUUGAUCCCUUUUAUCCGUCAAUUGCCUCUUCAUGGAGGUCUUUAGGCAAAAAGUAGUAAAAUGCGGGAAAGAUAAAGGGGGUUAAGAGAUCUACCCCACGGAUAAAGAUCUGAAGCAACAACAAAUAAAGAGGUAAGAAACCCAGAGAUCUCUCAAGCUAGCACCAUCAAAGAAAGCGAGUCAGUACAGGAAAUUGGAAUAAACCUCCAGGUUGUAUCCCACAAAUAAAGUGGAACACCAGGCAAGCCACCUCUGCAAGAGUCAUGUGAGCCCUCACAAAAAAAACUCAACAAACAGGUUAGAGUGACAAGACGGGGCGUAAUCAAGGGUUGCCCCCAAAUCAAAAUGUAACCACAUGAAUCAUGCCAUUAAAAUUCACAAAAAGCUCACAAAAAGCAACCAAGGGUAGGAGGCCUAAACCUCUUGUCAAACACAUGCAUCAAAAGGGUAUCAAAUUCACCCAUAAUACCUCAUACAUUCAGAGCAUUCAAAUUAAAAGCAUAAAGUAAUGGGAAUAAGGCAAACCUGACUGGAGAGAUCGAAUGAAAUUGAAUUGCCCGGUUGGGUUUGCAAAGCAAUCUNNNNNNNNNNNNNNNNNNNNNNNNNNNNNNNNNNNNNNNNNNNNNNNNNNNNNNNNNNNNNNNNNNNNNNNNNNNNNNNNNNNNNNNNNNNNNNNNNNNNNNNNNNNNNNNNNNNNNNNNNNNNNNNNNNNNNNNNNNNNNNNNNNNNNNNNNNNNNNNNNNNNNNNNNNNNNNNNNNNNNNNNNNNNNNNNNNNNNNNNNNNNNNNNNNNNNNNNNNNNNNNNNNNNNNNNNNNNNNNNNNNNNNNNNNNNNNNNNNNNNNNNNNNNNNNNNNNNNNNNNNNNNNNNNNNNNNNNNNNNNNNNNNNNNNNNNNNNNNNNNNNNNNNNNNNNNNNNNNNNNNNNNNNNNNNNNNNNNNNNNNNNNNNNNNNNNNNNNNNNNNNNNNNNNNNNNNNNNNNNNNNNNNNNNNNNNNNNNNNNNNNNNNNNNNNNNNNNNNNNNNNNNNNNNNNNNNNNNNNNNNNNNNNNNNNNNNNNNNNNNNNNNNNNNNNNNNNNNNNNNNNNNNNNNNNNNNNNNNNNNNNNNNNNNNNNNNNNNNNNNNNNNNNNNNNNNNNNNNNNNNNNNNNNNNNNNNNNNNNNNNNNNNNNNNNNNNNNNNNNNNNNNNNNNNNNNNNNNNNNNNNNNNNNNNNNNNNNNNNNNNNNNNNNNNNNNNNNNNNNNNNNNNNNNNNNNNNNNNNNNNNNNNNNNNNNNNNNNNNNNNNNNNNNNNNNNNNNNNNNNNNNNNNNNNNNNNNNNNNNNNNNNNNNNNNNNNNNNNNNNNNNNNNNNNNNNNNNNNNNNNNNNNNNNNNNNNNNNNNNNNNNNNNNNNNNNNNNNNNNNNNNNNNNNNNNNNNNNNNNNNNNNNNNNNNNNNNNNNNNNNNNNNNNNNNNNNNNNNNNNNNNNNNNNNNNNNNNNNNNNNNNNNNNNNNNNNNNNNNNNNNNNNNNNNNNNNNNNNNNNNNNNNNNNNNNNNNNNNNNNNNNNNNNNNNNNNNNNNNNNNNNNNNNNNNNNNNNNNNNNNNNNNNNNNNNNNNNNNNNNNNNNNNNNNNNNNNNNNNNNNNNNNNNNNNNNNNNNNNNNNNNNNNNNNNNNNNNNNNNNNNNNNNNNNNNNNNNNNNNNNNNNNNNNNNAUCCCGAUUGACAUGAUGAAAUGCAAUAUGAAAUGCUAAAUGACCUAAAAAUGAAUGCAUGAAUGAGGAGGGCAAAUUUUGGGGUGUUACAGCUGCCCCUAUUCAAUCAUCAGCUAACCCGAGCAGGAUGAAAGCGAACAGCUUAUCAGACAAACAGGGUGAGCUGUGAUUGAAUACCAAUAGACAGACCGAAAAUUUGCGCUCUGAGAACACCACAAAAAUGCUGAAAUACACCGCGCUGUUUAUUUUUCUUCCGAUCCUCUGGCUGAAUCUGAAUCAGUCUUCUGACUUAAUCUGGAGUUUCGAUCCUCUGGCUGAAUCUAUACUCAAUCUUCCUCUGGUUGGAUAUUAAUUUUGAUCCUCGGGCUGGAUACGACUUUGAUCCUCGGGCUGGAUACGAUUUUGAUCUUCUGGCUAGAUCUAAUUUUGAUCCUCGGGCUGGAUACGAUUCGAUCUUCUGGUUAGAUCUGAUUUCUUCGAUUCUCUUGCUGAAUCUAUACUCUUUAAUUCUCUGGCUGAAUCUAUUUCGAUCUUCUGGCUAGAUCUACUUCGAUCUUCUGGCUAGAUCUUCUUUGUUUCGAUUCUCUGGCUGAAUCUAUCUUCUUUGAUUCUCUGGCUGAAUCUAUUUUCGGUCUUCGGGCUAGACCUUCUUCGAUUUUCUGGCUAGAUCUUUUUAUUUCGAUCCUCUGGCUGAAUCUAUUUUGCUGCGAUUCUCUGGCUGAAUCUAUUUUCUUUGAUUCUCUGGCUGAAUCUAUUCUUGGUCUUCGGGCUAGACCUGACUUUGAUCUUCUGGCUAGACCUGACUUUGAUCUUCUGGCUAGAUCUGGAUUGAUCUUCUGGCUAGAUCUGUUCUUGGUUUCGAUUCUCUGGCUGAAUCUAUUCUCAGUCUUCGGGCUAGACCUGACUUCGAUCUUCUGGCUAGAUCUACUUCGAUCUUCUGGCUAGAUCUGGAUUGUUUUGAUGAUAAAUUCCCAUCAUCAGGAUCUCGCAUCUGAGGCAUGCGUUGGUUGACCCUCUUUCGAAAUCUUCACCCAAUCUUCAUGUUAGAUAUGUAGCUCCGAGAAUACUCCACUUUUGGGCUUCGUACAUAUUCUUCAGGCUAGAACAUGUUGUAACGACUCUUCAAUUGGACUUCGUUUUCUAAAUUGCGAUCCGCGGGCUGGAUCCUCUUGUAGAUUGAUUUUCUAUUGAACUGUCAAUCUACUCCUCUAGCUGGUUUGCUGGGGAAAUAACGCUUGUAGGCGAUUCUCUGGCUGAAUCUUCAAAUUGAACCUACUCCUCUAGCUGGUUUGCUGGGGAAAUAACGCUUGUAGGCGAUUCUCUGGCUGAAUCUUCAAAUUGAACCUCAGGCUGGCUCAUUGGAAAACGAUUCUCAGGAUGAAUCUUCGAAAUGACCCUCAUGUUGGAUCAUACACACUUGAUUCUCUGGCUGAAUCUCAUGACUUUGGUUGUAAAGUAGUUCUUCAGUCCGCUUUGAAGAACCUGUUUAUAUGUUUAUGUGUAUGCUUGAUAUGCAUGCAAAUGCAAAUGCAAAUGUUAUGCAUGGUGCAAAAAAGAAAUCUGCUUGGGGAAGCAAGCUCCAGUAGGGAACAUAUCGCUGUAUCAAUCCUUGAAUGCGCUGUGGGGAACGAUCCGUCUACCGGGACCGGGGAGCCACCGAAAAUAAAUCGGUUUUUUUUAAAAAGUUGACCUUGCUGGGGGAGUAUCAACUAUGAGAAAUUUGCUUGGCGAGGCUCUGUGAGGAGAGUCUGUGGGGAAAGCACUUCCUGGGGAAAUGUCGUAGGAAUCGACCCUUGCUGGGGAUAUGAACUUGCUAAUCGUCCUCAGGCUGGGGAUCAAAACAAAUCUAUUAAAAAAAUAUCUGCUGGGGAAUGAGAUGAACACUGGGGACACCACCCUCUUGUCUGUUGGGUAUGCAACUACUCCGCUGUUGCUGGGGAUACAAGGUGCAACUCUACUGGGGGACAUGCUCUACUGAGGAGAGCCUUUGUCAACCGCUUGGGGAUGAGGAUUCAUGACUUGGCAUCCAGUUUCUGUGACCUGCAAUCACACACGUAUGUCCUGGGGGAAUUAUUCGGUUUGAAUUCACCGUCCGGGAUUAGGCACAUUCAAAGCAAUUUUAAAUGUUUUCCUGUGCAAAUCAUCUGCAAAAGCCACCAUUAUAGGAUUAGGCACAUUCAAAGCAAUUUUAAAUGUUUUCCUGUGCAAAUCAUCUGCAAAAGCCACCAUUAUAUUCAUAUGCAAUAUGUUUCAUCAAGAAUUCAGACAUCUUCUGCAAACAAACUGAUAAACGAAAAAUAAAGAGGCUCUUUAACUGAAAAAUUUGUGCCAGGAAUAGGCGAGUACAUCAGGAAGUUGAUCCCUGAAAAGAGGCGAUCGCUAUAAAUUGAACGAAAGAAACUAUCUUAAUGACAAUGUGGAUACGGGGUCCCACUGAGUUUCGGCUCUGCUAUGGCUCGUAUGACCUCAAGACGCUCUGCUCAUCUUGCUUUCUGAAGUGGAUGAUUAGUCGAUCUUUAACCUUCGAAGAUUGCUGGAUUGAAUGAAACGGUGAUAUAACACGGAUGAACUCAGAUCGCAGUCAUUCGCUUAUUCCCUAUUUUGCGUGGACCGCCCUUUUGGGUUUUCAAUCCACCGGGAUACCCUUUUUUGCCUGAGCCGCCCUUUCGGGUUUUCGACUCACCGGGUGUACAUUUUUUAUUUUUAUAUCCCUAAUUUUUUCCCGAACCUCUUAAUUCUUUAUUUUUGGUUUGUCGGGAUGCCCUUUUUUGCAUGGACUAUUCUUUUUAUUGUCCAGCGGGUCUAUUUUAUGCGAAGUAUUUUUUAACUGCGUCUGAGUUGACAGGGGAUGGGAAGUCUUCGCCAUCCAUGGUUGUUAGCAUCAGAGCUCCGCCAGAGAAAACUCUUUUAACCACGUACGAAGUAUUUUUUAACUGCGUCUGAGUUGACAGGGGAUGGGAAGUCUUCGCCAUCCAUGGUUGUUAGCAUCAGAGCUCCGCCAGAGAAAACUCUUUUAACCACGUAUGGACCCUCAUAGUUCGGUGUUCAUUUGCCCCUGUGAUCUGUGUUGGGAGGAAGAAUUCUUUUGAGUACCAAUUCACCAACUUGAUACUCCUGAGGGUGCACUUUCUGAUCAAAUGCUCUCUUCAUUCGUCUCUGAUAUAGUUGGCCAUGGCAUAUAGAUGCUAGUCUCUUUUCCUUAACUACAUCCAGGGUUUUAAUCCGUAGGUUGAUGGCUUCCUCAAGUCCUAGGAUACAAGCUUCGUAUUCGACUUCAUUGUUGGUGCAGGGAAAAGUUAUUCUGGCACAAAAUGGCAUAUGAACCCCCUCCGGCGUGAUCAACACUGCACCAACUCCGCGACCAUUGACGUUGACUGCCCCAUCAUAAUCCAUUUGGAUUCAGGGUCAGGCCCCUCCUCCGGGAGUGGUUCCUCGCAAUCUUUCGAUUUGAGAAACAUGAUGUCCUCAUCAGGAAAGUCAAACCUCAUAGGUCGGCAAUCAUCAAUAGGUUGCUCUACAAGAUAGUCUGACAAGACACUUCCUUUGAUGGCUUUUUGUGAAGUGUAUUGGAUGUCAUACUCUGUCAGUAUCAUUUGCCACCUAGCAACCCUUCCGGUAAGCGUUGGCUUUUCAAAAAUAUACUUAAGGUGUAAUAGCUCGGUCCUCCUGUUUCAACAACCUGGCUAGCUCUUCAGGCAAUUCACAAUCUUCCUCAACCCCUUCUUCGGCUUGAUAGAUAGGAUUGUCGAAGUCAUACUUGGCCAUAGCAGUGCCGUUAGCAGUGAGAUCCGGGUGAUCGUCUAUGCAUGAUGGAGGAUCAUGCUUUUACCUUAGAACAAGAUUUUUUGGAAAGAAAACGGAAAAGAAGCAUUGCCAUUUUUUGUAAAAGUAAAAAUAAUUGAAAGAAAGAGAACACAAAAUUGUUUGCAAAAGCUGUCCUUUAUUGAUGAUGAAAAUAAUUGCGAAAUGUAAGUAAAUGGAUGGCCCUACAGAUGAGUCAUUACACCUUGGGCAAAGUGUAAGACUUUAUUAUGCAUGUAAAAAGGAAAACAAUAAAAAUUACUCUUUCAGUAGAGUAACCCGGACGACUUUUUCGGAUGACUAGUUGUUGAGCUUUUCUCCUGGGACACACGGGCGAAUCCAGCUAUCUAAGUCACAGUCGCUGUCAGCCUUGUCUUCAUCUGCAGCAUUGACGAUGUGGGGAGAAACCAAACCCCCGCUGGAGAAAGUACCGGCUUCAUUCUUCUGAGACCCCGGAGUAAACCCCAAUCCAAACUUGUCUUCUUUGAUGACUGGCUCCACGAAUUUGCCCCAGCCUUGGGCAUUACCAGCUUUAACCACUUCAACAGCUUGCUUGUAUGAAGAGAUAGAAGUCCCGACCUUCUCAGACUUAGGUGAAAAGACAGCUUCGGGUGCGACUUCACUGAUGUUUAUGGCUUCGAAACCCUGACACAGCAUCUCAUGCAUCUCGCCAUCCAUCUCCACAUACUUAAAUGUAGACAAGUGGCUAACAAAAAUAUCCUCUUCACCACAAACAGUGACGACCUGACCUUCUAGUCCAUAUUUGAGCUUCUGGUGGAGAGUAGAAGUAACAGCACCGGCAGCAUGAAUCCAGGGCCGACCUAGCAGACAACUAUAGGCAGGUUGGAUAUCUAUCACAUAGAAGGUGCUCUUGAACACCUGCGGUCCAAUCUUAACUGGCCACUCAACUUCGCCAAAGACAGCUCUCUUAGAGCCAUCAAAAGCCCUCACCACUAAAUUACUGGGCCUCAGGAUGGUGCCAUCGCAAUCCAACUUCAUUAAGGCUUUCUUUGGAAGAACAUUCAAAGAAGAGCCUGUAUCAACCAAAACAUGGGAAAGCACCGCCCCUUUGCAUUCCAUUGUGAUAUGCAAGGCUUUAUUGUGAUUCCUGCCCUCAGAUGUCAGGUCAUAAUCGGUGAAACCUAGCCCAUGGCUAGUGUUUACAUUUGAAACUACCGACUCCAGCUGGUUAACAGUUAUCUCUGGUGGAACAUAGGCCAUAUUCAGUACUUUCAACAAGGCUGCUCUGUGAGCCUCAGAGCACAUCAAUAAUGAGAGAAUGGAGAUCUUUGAGGGUGUCUGAUUUAGCUGGUCGACUACNAGCUACCCGGGCUUUUCUGGGGACUGUUGUUGAGCUUUCUCUGGACACGCCGGGCGAAUCAGCUUCUAGUUCACUCGCUGUCGCUUGUCUUCAUCUGCGCAUUGCGAUGUGGGAGAACCAACCCGCGCUGGAGAAAGUACGGCGUCUUCUUUGGACCCCGAGGAACCCCAUCAAGGUUUCUUUGAUGCUGCUCAGCGUUUUUGCCCAGCCUUGGGUUCCGCUUUAACCCCUAACAGCUUGCUUGUAUGAGAGAUAGGUUCCGACUUCUUAGACUUAGGUGAAAAGCAGGCUUCGGGUGGACUCUCACUGGUUAUGGCUUCGAACUCUGACACGUUCUCUGAUCUGAUCCAUUCCAUACUUAUGUAGACCAAGUGGCUAACGAGAAUAUCUCUUACCCAACGUGCGACCUGACUCUAGUCCAUAUUUGAGCUUUGGUGGAGUAGAGUAACAGCACGGCAGCAUGGAGAUCGGGCGACUAGAGUAACUUAGCAGUGGGUAUUAAUCACAUAGAAGGUGCUCUUGAAACCUGCGGUCCAAUUUUCUGGAUACUUCGCCAGACGCUCUCUGAGAGCCUCACAGCCUCACCACUAUUAUGGGGCUCGGUGGUGCCUCGCAUCCAUUCAUUAAGGCUUUUUUGGAGACAUUUAAAGAAGAGCUGGUAUACACAUGGGAAGCACCGCCCUCCCCUUGCAUUCUGGUGAUAUGCAGGCUUUAUGUGUUUCUGCUCAGAUGUGUAUAUCCGGUUUGAAACUAGCAUUGGUGUGUUUACCUUGAUUACGACUCCGCUGCGUUCCGUUAUCUCUGGUGGAAUAGGCAUUUUCGUACUUUUCAACAAGGUGCUCUGUGAGCUCAGAGACAUCAUAAUGGGAUGGAGAGUUUGGGGGGGGUCUGAUUUGUUGGUCGACCACCUUGUAGUCCUGUUCUUGAUAAUUCCUAACGUCCCUUCCGUUCUGUCGGUCUUAGGGGGCUUCCUCAGUGUCUCUUCGGUGGGUACUGUUUUCUUGCUUGGCAGCUGCCUAGCUUCGUAUUCGUGCGCAUAUUGAUGGUGCAAACAGGCGUCAUGCGGGUUGAGCCACACUCUCCCUUGUCUAGCGGAGCUCUGUCAGUUUUUCUUAUUUUGCCUUGGAUAGAUUUCAGCCCCAUAGUGCCGGGUGUAGCACUGUCUUUUUCUCGGCAGGUCCUGGUACCGUGUGGUGAGGUACACCGGUUGAGGGGCUGUCAAAGUUGAAAUGUAUGGUGUGGACCGUUUCGAUGUUCACGUCACUGGUUCUGUACUUUCUGGGAAAUAUUAUUGUCGGAGCGGCGUUUUCGGGCAUAUUUCUUCAAGUUGAAAUAACGUUCGAUGUCGACUUCAUUUUCACUGGACGGGUUUGGAUCGAACUGGAAGGACAGUUCAUCUUGUCAGUUGUGGUCCCUUCAACUGGGUCAUCGUUUGCGGGUUGACCGUUCUGACUCUUCCACCGGACUUUUCCUUUUCAAGUCAGUCCUUUAACCACCCGUGUCGAGUUUCCUUUAGUUAAUGAACCUUCAGUUGUUUUCCCACCCAUCAAGGUUAUCUGCCGCGUGGGCUGGCAUGGGUUUUGGUAACAUAGGGGGGAGAUUGAUGUGUUUCUUUUUUUCUAUUCUUUCUUUUUUUUUUUUGGGCAUCUCUCUCUUGUACCUUUAGCUGGAGACUUGCCUUGUCUGUGCAUAAGAGUGACGUUGGGGUUGAAGAAGCCACUUCUGGCGUUGAGUCAUUCUUAGGAUUUUGGGUCGUUGGUGGGGCAGAGUUCUUCAAGUAACUGUUCAGGUCCUAGCCUGGAGCAAUACAAAUAGCUUUGGAGUUGGCUCAUGACUCGGUCCGUUUGCCUUGGACGUUGUGAUGGGUCUCGCUGACCGGGUUACUCCUGUUGUUGUUGUUGUUCCUGGUUGCGGUUGAAGUUGAUUUGUGGUUGCUGUUGUAGUUGAGGAGAGGUGUAGAUAGUGGACUGCGACUGAUCUUGUACUUUUGGGGUCUCUGCCCUGCCUCUGCCGGCAUAGCACGUUGUCUGCCUUUCUCGGGCGCUGACCGUUACAGCACGGUUUUGGGCAUUUGUCUUAUUCGGGCCCAUCUUACAGGCUCUCGAUCAUUUCUCAGCAUUACUUCUUGCCAGCUGAUUGCGGGGAGCAGCCAGUCUCUAUAUAUUGCUUGAGGUGUUCAUUGACAUGUCCGCAUUCUUUGACUGGGGUUGGGGACGCACAUUUGUCUCAACGCUGGCAUAUUGUUUAAAGGUCUCUUGGCAGUUGGACUUCCUUGCAACAAGGUCGAUUCGAGCCGUCAGUUGUAUUGAUUGGUGGACAAGCUUGCAGUCUUUCCGUCUUGGGUGGUGUCGGACAGAUGAGAAUACAUUCCGGAGUCCGGUAGGAUGUCUUCAUUACUCCACAGUUUUCAUUUCAGUGUGAGUCCCCUUCCCAGUAAGAUUGGAAUGAGUGUGUGGGCAGAGGCUGUUUAUUUCUCAAGUAGGGGUUUGACUUGUGAGGAGCCUUCUCCCUAACAGACCAAUUUGUGACAUCAAAACCUAAGGAAUUUUGAGACUCCAAAGAUUUGAGCUUCUCAGCAAGCUCAUCCAUACGACGAGUGGUCUCGUGAGCUUCGUCGUGCAAAGAGAAUUGAUCAUACUGAUAAUCUUCAGUAACAGGGGGCCGUUAAUCUGAAUUCCUUGAUUCACAUUGUACCUUCCGCCAAUACCAUUUCCAACAUUCCCCGUGUUGCCAACAUUACCCGGGUUUCCCUCAGCAUUUGCGUUACCCGCGUUACCAGUGUUCACAGGGUUAUCAGUGUUCCCCUCAGCAUUUGGUAUCUCUACCUCUGGAUCGGGCCUCGGUUGCUCAACCAAAACCCUCAGCUUUUCCUGGCCUUCUGCCAUACCAGUCAUCAGUGUCAUGAACUGAUCCAUCCUUUCACGCAUAUCAGCCAGCUCUUUUUGUACCUGGUCCAUCGCUAGUCGUGGACGAUUUUCCUUUGUCGGGUACCUGUGGACUUGCUUGGGACCAAUAGUUCCUGAGACAGGGAACAAACAUUAGACACUGCGGUGACACCUGUAAAACAAACAAGGGUUAAUAUGCAUGGUAUGCGAUGCACUGCUUAUUCAAUUUUUAAGGAAUCCCCCUUAGGAAGGGAAUACCCUGCAAAUGAAUAAGCAUGAGAUGUUGGAUGCAGAUAUGCGGAUGAUGUUAUGCAAUGCAAAGGCAUGUCAAUCAGGAUUGCUGGACCCGCUUGAACAUCUGUCAGGUUGCACUGUCUGAAAAGAAACCCGCUGAGUAAUAUAAUACAGGAUCGGCACUUCGGCAUGAAUUCGGAACCGGGAACCAUAGAACACAAUCAUCAACUUAGAACCCAAACUUCAGAACCAACGGUCACCAACAAGAACCGAAUAAUAGUCACCAACAGAACAAGUCACCAUCAGUACCUGUAAAUGAUUCAUUCCCGCCCCACUCACGGGUGUAGUCUAGGUCAGGGUAAGGUCAAGAGAAACGCAGGAUAAACAAUCCUUUCAAGAAUAUCAUCAUAUGCACACCAGGUGUAUGCAACGAUAAUACCCCAUCAGAAUCUGAACUGCUCGUGAAGUCAGGGUAAGGUCAAGAGAAACGCAGGAUAAACAAUCCUUUCAAGAAUAUCAUCAUAUGCACACCAGGUGUAUGCAACGAUAAUACCCCAUCAGAAUCUGAACUGCUCGUGAUACCAUGUUCCGCUUAGUGGCACCAUACCACCCGCUUCCCAUGAAUCACUCUAUUCCUAGGUGUCCUAAAGUUCACUCUAGCCUGUGUAUUGGGCGUUUUACCUCUCAGAACAUCCCAUCCCAACAAACAGAACCAGCAGAUAUGGCAAUCAUAUGUACACAAUGCAAUAAAGCAGGUAAAUGCUGAAAGAUAAAUAACUGUACAAAAGAAUAAACACCCAACAAACAAGAAACCUACAAAAGCUAGGAGGGACUCGCUUAGAGAAACAGGGUCCCCAGCAGGCCAGCUGUCGCAACCUACCUGCAAAAAAAAACAACCGACGAAAAAGAAAGGACAGAAGAGUCGCCACCGUGCAUUAUUUAUCCCAAAGGAGGGAAAGGAAACGCUCGAAGUAAACCUGAAAAAAGGAAAGGAAAAGACAAGGUCUCACAACCAAAUCUUGGAUUCGGGAGUCGAUUAUGCGAAGGGAAUGUAUUAGCACCCCUACGCAUCCGUAGUACUCUACGGGAUCCACUCUUGUAGUUCUUGUCUAAAGGGUGUAGGUUUAUCUAAUGUGCUAUUUACUAAAAGAGGGUCAAAAGAAAAUGACUCGCACGGAUGUCGCAUCCACUGCAUACGUAUCCCAUCUGAAUAUAAGAAUCAGAGUCUUCGUAAUUCGGCUACCUAUGGGUUAGGGGGGAGUGUGCUCGGUAAGACAUCGCGUCUUAUGCCUACGUAUCUCAUCUGGAAUGAGAAUCAGAGCAAGUCGUAGUUUGGCUAACUACGGGUUAAGGGUUGUGUUUUGGGGUGAACGACGUUACUACGCAAUCUACCGGAUGCUCGACCUUUGGAGACUUACUCGCCUGUAGUAGAAGGAGAUAACGUGUUCUUAGGAGAAGAAAAAAGGGUUGUGUUUUGGGGUGAACGACGUUACUACGCAAUCUACCGGAUGCUCGACCUUUGGAGACUUACUCGCCUGUAGUAGAAGGAGAUAACGUGUUCUUAGGAGAAGAAAAAUCAAUGAGUUAUUGGUGUUUAGGGAUGCUCAUGCAAAAGGGGUAAUGAGGAUAAUACCUCAUAGCUCUUAACCCUGGACAGGGUGAGCUCAUGACAAAAAGUGGGGGUUCAGAAAGGUGGAACCCUCUCCACUGACCGACCGGACAAGAGAUCUGGGGUUUUUGUUCUGAAGCAUCGACACGUAGUGUGAUCUUAAAGAACGACACACUGAAUAACGGGGGAUUGAUUAUUGAUCCCUUUUAUCCGUCAAUUGCCUCUUCACGGAGGUCUUUAGGCAAAAAGUAGUAAAAUGCGGGAAAGAUAAAGGGGGUUAAGAGAUCUACCCCACGGAUAAAGAUCCGAAGCAACAGCAAAUAAAGAGGUAAGAAACCCAGAGAUCUCUCAAGCUAGCACCAUCAAAGAAAGCGAGUCAGUACAGGUAAUCGGAAUAAACCUCCAGGUGGUAUCCCACAACAGAGCAUUCAAAUUAAAAGCAUAAAGUAAUGGGAAUAAGGCAAACCUGACUGGAGAGAUCGAAUGAAAUUGAAUUGCCCGGUUGGGUUUGCAAAGCAAUAUGAGGGUUUAUAUGAGAUGGAAUUGGCUCUUUGCAGAUGAGUUCCCUUCAGUCUCUGGAGGUUGCUCUGAACUCUGUUAGCUCUUCUCUCACUAUCUUUUUCCCAGCCAGGGUAAUAGGAAUAGAAUGAAAUUUUGUUUCACUGAAACUCUGAAUUUAUAAACUGAUUUUUGUGGACCUGUGGGCUCAAAUGAGAGAGGCCCAAGUCCAAAAAAUUUCUGUUAUAUUUUAUUUAUUUAUUUAUUUAUUUUAUUUUAUUUUAUUUUUUAUUUUUUAUUUUUCGUUUUUUUUAACACGUGGGCUUCGCCUAGCGAGCAUGACAAUUCAAGAAAUUCCUCUGAGCGUAGGUGAUUCUGGUGGCUUUUCUUAGGACUCACUAGGCGACCCAUUCUGCUCGCCUAGCGAGCAUGACAGCUCAUGAACAAACUUUUGCUCCUUCAAGAUUAACGUUUUGACUGACGAGUAGACCCCAUUUGAACCUGUUGGAAGUAUCUCAAGCCAUUCCCUUGUGUUGACUGAUCAUCUAAAUAGAACCCACAAAGUGUCCUGGAUGAUGUUCAAGCUUCUUGGAGCUAAUCCCGAUUGACAUGAUGAAAUGCAAUAUGAAAUGCUAAAUGACCUAAAAAUGAAUGCAUGAAUGAGGAGGGCAAAUUUUGGGGUGUUACAGAAGGAAGUCAAGAUUAGGGCAUUGCUUUGUCCAGAUGUUAAGAGGAGUAUAAUACAUAUUCUUAGAGAUUAUGUGGAUGUAUUUGCUUGGUCUUAUUAAGACAUGCCAGAUGUUGAUACUGAUAUUGUGGAGCAUUGAUUUCUGUUGAAUCCAGAAUGUUCGCCGGUCAAACAGAAGUUAAGAAGAACUCACCCUAAUAUGUCUGUCAAGAUUAAAUAAGAAGUUCAAAAGCAGAUUGAUGUUGGGUUCCUUGUUAAGGUUGAGUAUCCUCUGUGGGUGGCUAACAUGGUACCCGUUUCAAAGAAAGAUGGUAAAGUUAGGAUGUGCAUUGAUUAUAGAGACUUGAACAAAGCUAGUCCGAAAGAUGAUUUUCCUCUGCCGCACAUUGACAUGUUGGUGGAUAAUACAACUAAGUUCAAUGUCUUAUCCUCUAUGGAUGGAUUCUACAAUUAUAAUCAGAUCAAGAUGGCACCCAAAGACAUGUAAAAAACAACAUUUAUCACACCCUAGGGAACAUUCUGCUAUAGAGUGAUGCCUUUCGGUCUGAAGAAUGAUGAUGCAACGUGCCAGAGAGCCAUGACUACUCUUUUCCAUGACAUGAUGUACAAAGAGAUAGAAAUAUAUGUUGAUGAUAUGAUUUCUAAGUCGAAGACUGAAGAAGAUUAUGCUGAGUAUUUAUUGAAGCUAUUUCAGCGGUUGAGAAAGUUUAAACUCCGGUUGAACCCUAAUAAAUGUACUUUUGGUGUCCGUUCAAGAAAAUUGUUGGGUUUCAUUGUCAGCCAGAAAGGUAUUGAAGUAGAUCCUGAUAAAGUCAGAGCUAUUCAAGAAAUGCAUGUGCUGAAGAUAGAAAAGAAAUUCAGAGGGUUCCUCGGGCGUCUAAAUUACAUAUCCAUAUUUAUAUCUCACAUAACUGCCACAUGUGGGCCAAUCUUCAAGCUUAUCCGCAAAGAUCAAGGUUGUGUUUGGGCAGAGGACUGCCAAAAGGUUUUUGAUAGCAUCAAUGAGUAUCUGCUUGAACCUCCUAUCUUGUCUCCUCCAAUGGAAGGAAGAACUUUGAUUAUGUAUUUGACUGUGUUAGAAGAGUUCAUGGGUUGUGUGCUUGGACAUAAAGAUGAAACUAGUAAAAAGAAGCAUGACAUCUACUAUCUGAGUAAGAAGUUUACAGGCUAUGAGUUUCGGUACUCCAUGCUUGAAAAGACUUAUUAUGCAUUAGCAUGGGCUUCCAAACAUUUACGCCAGUAUAUGAUCAAUCACACCACUUGGUUGAUAUCCAAAAUGGAUCCAAUCAAGUAUAUCUUUGAAAAGCCUGCUUUAACUAGAAGGAUUGCUUGUUGGCAGAUGUUAUUUCCUGAAUACGAUAUUGAGUACCAUACUUAGAAGGCGAUUAAAGGAAGUAUUCUUGUAGAUCAUUUGGCUCACCAGCCGAUCGAUCAUUAGCAAUCCAUCAAGUUUGACUUCCCUGAUGAAGAUGUUAUGUACUUGAAAGCAAAAGACUGCGAUGAACUGUUGCCUGGAGAAGGACCAGAGCCUGGAUCCCGUUGGGGUUUAGUGUUUGAUGGAGCUGUUAAUGCUUAUGGUAAUGGAAUUGGGGAAAUCAUUAUUACUCCUAGGGGUUCUUGCAUCCCUUUUACUGCAAGACUGAUGUUUGACUAUACGAAUAAUAUGGUAGAAUAUGAAGCUUGUAUCAUGGGUCUCGAAGAAGCCAUUGAUUUGAGAAUUAAAAUCCUUGAUGUAUACAGAGAUUCAGCCUUGGCAGUCAAUCAGAUUAAAGGAUAAUGGGAGGCGUGUCAUCCUGGCUUGAUUCCUUAUAAAGAUUAUGCAAGAGUUGUCAACUUUCUUCAAUAAAAUAGAAUUUCAUCAUAUACCUCGUGAAGAGAAUCAUAUGGCAGACGCUCUGGCUACUCUGUCUUCUAUGUAUAAAAGUAAAUCAUUGGAAUGACGUGCCCAGUAUCACAAUUAUGCGCCUUGACAGACCUGCUCAUGUGUUUGCAGCAGAAGAAGUUAUAUAUGAUAAGCCCUGAUAUUAUGAUAUUAAAUGUUUCCUCCAAAUUCGGGAGUACCCACUUAGACCAUCCAACAAAGAUAAGAAAACUUUGAGAAGACUGACUGAUAAUUUCUUUCUCAAUGAAGAUGUGUUGUACAAGAGAAAUUUUGACAUGGUUUUGCUCAGAUGCAUGGAUAGACAUGUUAACGCAAGAAGUUCAUGAAGGAUCCUUUGGUACUCAUGUCAAUGGACAUGUAAUGGCUAAAAAGAUGUUAAGGGAAGGUUACUAUUGGCUGACAAUGGAAUAUGAUUGCUGUAAAUAUGUCAAGAAGUGCCAUAAAUGUCAGAUUUAUGCUGAUAAGAUUCAUAUGCCUCUGAAGCUUCUCAAUGUUAUUUCAUCCCCAUGGCCUUUCUCUAUGUGGGGAAUUGAUAUGAUUGGUAUGAUUUAGCCCAAAGCUUCGAACAGACAUCAUUUCAUCCUGGUAGCUAUUGAUUACUUCACCAAAUGGGUUGAAGCAGUAUCUUAUGCCAAUGUGACCAAGGAGGCUGUGGUCCGAUUUGUCAAGAAUAAGAUUAUUUGCCGAUACGGUGUUCCAAGUAAGAUCAUUACUGAUAAUGGGUCGAACUUGAAUAACAAGAUGAUAAAAGAACUUUGUGAUGACUUUAAUAUUGAACAUCCUAACUCUUCUCCCUACAGGCCUAAGAUGAAUGGGGUCGUUGAAGCUGCAAAUAAGAACAUUAAGAAGAUUAUCCAGAAGAUGGUUGUGACAUAUAAAGAUUGGCAUGAGAUGUUCCACUUUGCUUUGCAUGGGUAUCGUACAUCCAUCCACACUUCAACAGGGGCAACCCCUUUGUCUCUUGUGUAUGUCAUGGAAGCAGUGCUCCCUGUAGAGGUUGAGAUUCCGCCAAUGUGAGUCUUAAUGGAAGCCAAGUUGUUUGAGGCUGAAUGGUGUCAGAGCAGAUAUGAUCAGUUGAAUUUGAUUGAAGAGAAAAGAAUGACAUCCUUGUAUCAUGGUCAAUUAUAUCAAAAGAUAAUUAAGAAAGCAUUUGACAAGAAGGUUCGACCUCGUGUAUUUAAAGAAGGUGCCUUGUGCUCAAGAAGAUCUUGUCUUUCAACACUGAUUCUAGGGGCAAGUGGACUCCUAAUUACGAAGGAUCAUAUGUUGUUAAGAGAGAUUUCUCUGGUGGUGCAUUGAUUAUUACAACUAUGGAUGGUGAGGAACUCCCUCGUCAUGUAAAUGCCGAUGAAGUCAAGAAAUUCUUCACCUAGAAAAAUAAAAGAGCAGCUCGCUAAGUUGAAAACCCGAAACGGCGGCUUAAGCAAAAAUGAGUGUCUCGGUGGUUUGAAAACCCGAAAGGGCGGUCCAGGAAAAAGUCAGAGACAUAAAAUAGAAAAUAAUAAUCUCGGUAGAUUGACCCUGAAAAGGAAAUCUGGGAAAAAGUUAGGGAUUAUGGCAAGUAACUUCAUCAGGACAAACUUGAUUGUUUGAAGCAACCGUGCCUGUCACAGGUUCUUUUUCCGUCAUCCUCGACCGAAGUUCAGAGCAUAGUGGAAUUCAAAUUUGUUAGGGAGAAUAGCGGUCAUUGUAUUUCAAUGUAGCCAUUUCCAUGUAUUUACCAUUUUCCAACUUUGUAAUGAUCCACAGAGUCACGCCUUUGCGGACUACCAUUAUAUCAAUAAAAUUUGAGCCUUUUGCCCAUUUGUUCGCUAUUCUUAUUUUGUUUCAGUUUAUGAAAUUUCAUUUAUUUUUUAUGAUUAUUUUUUAUACAAAAACUAUAUUUAAACAAUCAUAUUUUUGAAAAUUUACAAAAAAGAUAUGUAUUUUCCUCGACUUGUGAAUACAAAAGAGGAAUGUUAAUAGAAAUUCCAAGGAUGGUAAGAUCCUGAAGAGUGGAAUUCAGCGACAUCCCCAGGCUGGAUCUUCUUUUAUAACAGUCUCCCCAACAUCAGAUUGAAAUAGUGGUAGAAACCCUAAUGAAUCUCUGCCGUAAUCUCCAUGUUGUUGAGAUUAGCCGAGUAUUUAGUUGUACUAUGUUAUCAGUAUCACGCCUUUGCAUUUGUCAGCAUAAUCAUACGCACGUGUAUAACAUCAUGAUGUUUAUUUGCGCAUUUUGCAUUUUCUCAGUAAAUUCCACACCAUUCUCUGGAACUUUUCUCCCUGCAAAGUGUGUGCGCCCUCUCUCCAAUAGAGUGUCGACCUUAGGCAGAAAGAGUUUAUCUUUUCUAAUUCCCCACUGAGUCUGAUCCUCGUGAAGAUUUUGUUCAUUUUUCCCCUUCAGUUCAUUAUCUUGAUGGGAUCAAUCUCCAAUUGAGUUCAUGCCCUCAUUGGAUUGAGUCCUCUUUGACCGCUUCUCUCCAGUUCAUUCAUGGUUUGAACUUUGGUCCCCUUUGUCUGGUUACCUUUGUUAAGUUACUGAAGUUAGUGGAAAUAUACCCGAACAUAUCGCACGCUCGAACAUACAACAGAGUCGCCAUCGAACUUUAUUUAUUCCCGAAGGAAAGGGAAAACAUCGAUAAAACCUGAUGGAAAGAGAUAUGUUGGGUAAGGAAGUCAGUUAUUCAAGGGGAAGGUAUUAGCACCCCUAACAUCCAUGGUACUCCAUGGGAACUGUUUUGAUUGUUCUCGCUCGAAUAGGUGUUAUAUCUAAGAUUACUCGCAAAAGAAUAAGGGAAAAGGAAAAGAGAAUAGAUAAAGUGCUCGGUGAGGAUUGGGCCCCUCAUGCCUACGUAUCCUCAUAGUGCAAUGAGGAAUUCAGAGCUCCAUAGUUCAAAGAACUAAUGAUAGGAGAUGAAAAGAAUUGUGAUAGCAGUAUGGUCUGAACCAAAGGAUUAUGUCGUUUGAACUCCAACACGGGGUGAAAGGUGUGAACCCAAGUGUAAAACUGGUAUGAACCAACAAGUGAGGGGCCCGAGGUAUGAUAUCACUGUAUUGGAAUAACUGAAAAAGAAGGGUUGCUUGUAUACGACUGCAAAGUAAGUAAGGAGAGGUUUGUCUAAGCUACAAGGUCUAACAAGACAAACAAAUCGGCUCUUGGUUCACAAACAGGUUCAAGAUGGAGCUCAAAGAGGUAGUGCAUUUGGCUCAAAGAAUAUGGUAUAUCACAUGAAGUGAAUGAAGAUAGAAUAUGAAUUCAUCAUGGAAAUGAAUGGAGUGAAGUGACCAAAGUCAAAGAAUCGGGGUUUUGGUAACAAGUGAUUGGGAAAGUGUAGUUUGAAACCAAAGUUAAAGGUAUAUUGGAAUAUAUAAGAGAAAUGGAAUUUGUAGCUAAAGAGUAAAGGUGACAUGGAUCAUAAGUGAGGGGUAUAAGACAUGGUAUCACUAUAUGGUAGGGCUGAAAAAGAAGGAAUUAAAUGUAUGGGGACAAUCCAAACAACUCUUGGUGCAAACGCGGACUUUUCACUAGGCGUCCUAAAAGGGUGUAUAUGGAAUUCCAAAGAAAACUGUAUUUCGGUGUCAAAGAAAAUAGUAUGUCACUGGAGUGAACGGUUUAAUGAUUGAAAGUAGGUAAUGGAUCAUGAAAGAUAUAGAUGAUGCCAUAGGGAUGAAGAUGGAAUAAAUAGGAGUAUGCUCGGAAAUGAUUCACAUCCUCGUGUCUAUGUAUUCUCACAAUGCAAUGAGAAAGUUAGAGCAAUCGUAGUUCAUGGAACCACAAACAGAAAGGAAAAGACUCAAAAAAGUGUUUGCCCAAGCAACAAGGUCUGACAAGACAAACAACCAAAGGAGUAUUAUUGAAGUGAUGAACAAUAUAACUUAUACCAAAAGAUAAUGGUAGCAUAGGAAAUCCAUAAAGGCAAUAUUGUCUUGGAAUCAAAGAGUAAACAUACAGACCGACAAGUGAGGGGCCCGAGGCAUGGUAUCACUGUCGUAGAAUGACUGGAAACGGAGAGGAUUAAAUGUAUGGCAAUAAGCCAAAAAACUCUUGAUACAAAGAUGGAAAUUUCAUUAGAUCGUCCUAAAAGGGUGAGAUGGAACCCAAAAGGAAGUAUUAAUUGGCACAAGGAAAAAUAUAUCACUUGCGGGGGAACAAACAAUUUGAGAUCAAAGAGAAUAAUAUCUUGGAUCCAUGAAGGAAUAAACUAUGAAUCGAAGAGUAAAGGUAAACCAACAAGUGAGGGGCCUGAGGUAUGGUAUCACUGUAUUGGAAUAACCAAAAACAAAGGAAUUAAAUGUCUGGAAAUAAUCCAAACAACCCUUGGUUCACAAGGCGGAUUUUUCAUUAGGCGUUCUAAAAGGAUGUGCAUGGAAACCAAGGAAAAGUGAUAUUCAAUCUUAAAAAGAUGGUAUUGAUUGAUGAAUGAAGAAUGAUUGAUUAAUAAAUAGGGUAGCUCGCGGAGAAUCUGAAUUCUCCUACCUACAUAUCCUUAUAGUGCAAUAAGGAAAUGAGAACUUUCGUAGUUCAGCCCAUUAGGACUGAAAGCAAGAUGAUUAAGGAAGUAAGAGGAAAUGAUAAAAGAAUUGAAGGAAUGGAAUAGACUUUAUAGUUAUUUGAUAAGAAUCACACUAAAGUCUAUGAGUAAAGGUGGAUACGAUAAGCAACAGGUCAAACAUCUCGCACCCAAGGAUAUCCAGAAUGAGUGUAGAAAAGCUUCAAUCGCAUUCCUUCUUUACUACUUAAGGCUCGUGGCAUGUAGUUCUUAUCUUAACUUCCAAGUCAUUGGAGGAGAAUCUUUGUUGUUGUUUCUAGUGAUGAUGAAGACCUUAUCAAUCGUUCGAUUCGAAUUGCACUAAAGUCUAUGAAUGGAGGUGAAUACAAUGAGCAACUGGGUCAAGCGUCUCGUACCCAAAGAUACUCAGAAUAGGGGUAGGAAUUCUCCAGUCCCAUUCCUUCUCCAUUUCUUAAGGCUUGUGUCGUACAACUUGGAUAAUGCUUGCUAAGUUGUUGAUAUAAUCUUUUGUUUGUUGCAUUGCUUUGUGAAGAGGGAAACUUGUCAAUCGUAUGAUUUGAAUUAUGCUAAAGUCUAUGAAUAGAGGUGAAUACAAUGAGAACUGGGUCAUUCGUCCUAUACCCAAAUAUAUUCAGAAUGGGGUAGGAAUUCUCCAGUCCCAUUCCUUCUCUAGUACUUAAGGCUCAUGUCACACAAUUCUAACUUUGACUUAACAAACUCUUGAAGAACCUCCUUUGACGCGCCUUGUAUUAUCCACUGCUUGGUAUGACUGGGACGCCUUGAUUGAAAGUCUGAUUUGAGACUUCGAGCUCCACAGCUUACAGAAAAAGUCUUAUGAAGUGAUCAAGGGUCUUUAGGCCACUCCAAUUAGACUGUGGGAUUAUACAAGAUCAAAUGAUUUAGUUGAUCAAAAUUGCUUUUGAUCAACUUGAAUCGAGGGUUUGAUUUAAAUUGAAAUUUAUGGUUAAUCAUGUACAACCUAUUCUAAAGGUUAAAAUAUGUACAAUUUAUAUCUAAAGGAUCAUGCCACAAUUCAUGAGAAUGUCAUAUUAAAAUGUCAUUAAGUUAUUAAUCUAAUUACUUGACCAAAAUAUAUUUGAUCAAAUAAUUAAAUUAAUCAAGGGAAAUUAAGUCAUGAAUUAAUAAAAGAAUUAAUUAAAGAUUUAAUUGAUUUAUUACAUGAACCAAAAGAAAAUUAAAAAACAUCAAUUAAUAAAAAAAAAAACAAUCAACUAGUAUAUUAAUUCUACUUCUAAUAUUUAAUAAUUAAAAGAGAAAUGAAUUCUAUAAUUUUUACUAAACUAAUACUAAUAUUUAUUUUCUAACUAAAAUUAAUGUUUGUUCUAAGCUAAGUAACUAAUUAAUGUCACACUAAAGCUACUGAAUAUGUUAUCUAACCUAGGCGAAUGUAUUGUAUAUAUCUUCUAAACUAAGUCACAUGUACUGCUUUCUAAACUAAAGCUAAAUGAACUACCUUCCAAACUAAAGUUAUUGAAUAUUAUAAGAAAAAAUCUAAGAAAAUCUAAAAUACCUAAAAAAAAAGGGAUGUAUCAGUAAAAUAACAUAAAGGUUACAUAAAAGUUACGAUAAACAUGUGGAUUAGUGAUUAGGUAAGUGGGCUUUUUUUACGAACUGCAAAAGCUAUAAUGUAUCUUGCAGCAUUUAAUAAUUUAUUAUAACUUACUAAAGUUCCUAAUUUAAUAAUUUAAAUUUAAAAAAUAUACUAAUAGAAAAUUAGUUACUUGAUACCAUUAUGCUUAACCAAGUAAUACACAUUGGAUUAAAACAAAGAUGAUACUAGUAAUACAUAAUAUUCAUCAUGCAUGCGGUACGAUAUCACAUUCCUUGUAACAGUUAUAUCCAAAAGAGUAAAAAUGUAAUAAUAUAAGAGUCAUAGGAAAAUAUAUAAAAUCUAAACAAGAUCAUAAAUGAUGUCACUCGUACAAUAAUAAGUAUAAAAGAAAUAGUAAAAAAGAAAAGAAAAGAAAAAGGCAUAGCAGUAUUAUUAUAAAUCCAUAGCAGUAAAAAAGAAGAGAAAGCCAACUUCGAACAAAAUUUCAAUAACGAUUAAUAAAAUCGAACUCGUCGAAUUACUAUAAUGUUAAAAUUAUAAUUUUACAAAGAAAUCAAAUAUAUACGGUAAAUUGGGAAGUAAAAUAAAAAUUAUACCAAAAAAAGUAAAAAGUGGGCGAAAAGAAUGAGUCGUUUCAGUUAAAAUAUGCAUCGGAAUGAAAACAUAAUUAUAUAUUCAUGAUCAGUGCGAAAAAUCGAUUCAAAUGGUAUACUCACAUGUUAAUAAUAGUUAAGAAUUAAAGAAUCACUAUUUUCAAGUUUACGUGACUUAUGCAAAAAUAAGUGAUUAUCCAAUAAGCAAUUCAAAAACAAUAGUUUAAACCAAUCAACCAACAAACAUCCAAUAAUUCAUGGCAAGGGUGUGGAAGAGAUAAAGGAUUAUCGACGGAGCGGAGAUUUGCUCCGGUUAGCGUUGAAAAUCGGAGCGCCGAAAAGAAAUCCAGAAUACUUCAAGAAUAAGCUCCAUUAAUCCAAUUAACUUUCAAGAUUUGAUAAUUACUUGAUGAUGAAUGUAUGUAAAAGAUGAAUCAUAAAUGUAGAAUAUUGAUGAAUAAGCUUGAAUUGAUGAAUCUUGGAUGAUGAUUAUUGAUAAAUCUUGAUAAACUUUAGAUGAUGAUUGCUGAUAAAAAUGUAGAAAUUGUUGAUUGAUGAUUUGUGAAAAUUGGAUUGUGGCUAAGUUCCACCAUUUUAGAACUUCAAUGUGAAGUUCUAAAUGGUGAUGAAUAUGAACUUUGGUGAUGGGNACUUUGGUGAUGAUGGGGGGGGAGAUGAAUUGAGAGAGAGAUAAUUUGAGAAAAAAUAGUGGAAAAAAAGAUGAUUUUUAGUUAUGUUCCUUAACCUCCUAAAAUGUGAAAAGUAACAUGUUUAUAUAGAAUUGGUAGGUGAAUGAUCACCCUUGGAUUGUGGUCCAAGUAAUUGAUUUAUCAAUGGUUAGAAAUUAAUUUAAUCCUUAGUUACGGAUCAUCAAUUUCAACAAUAAGGUUAAUUGUUAAGAGUGACUAGGAUCGAGUGAAAAAAAGGGAAGUUGAGAUUUGUGUUUGUUUGGAAGUUUUGUGUUAGUUUGAAAGUUAUGGUAGUUAAGGAUAAUUAGGUAAUUUGAUGACUUGUGGAGAAAUAUGUAUUUAAGGAUAGUUAAAGACCAAUGAUGUUGGAGUUUAGCAAAAGUACCAAGUUAGGAUGUAAGGUAAAGAGUCACUACUAAUUAACUUGAGUUUUCAUGCAUUUGCCUUGAAUUUUCUACCAAUUUUGGCUUGAACUUUGAGUGGUUUAACUCAUGACUUUUAGUAAUUUUGAGAAGUGAUGUUUUCCAUUAAAUGAAUGAAAUUUACCUUUUAUUCCAACUUUUCCCUUUCCUUUGAAUCCAAGCAAACCUCUGAAUUAAUUGAUGAUCGUUUCAAUCUCUCUUGAUAACCAUGAAUCUCAAAUAAAGAGAUGAUCCCCACCACAAGUAAUACGGGAAACAAACCCGAAUAAUUACCAACUAAUAUCCAUCUUAAAAUCCACUUAAACUGAUUAAAUCCAUUAACAUCGAACAUUUUGCCUAAAUUUGUUACCAUAUGCAAAUGUCGAUGAGUGCAUGAUCAAAUAGAAAAAGUAUGCAAAUGAACAAAACCAUAAGCCAAGCAAAUUAAAAAAAGUAGGGAAAAUUUUGGGGUAUGACAAUUACCGUUUGACUGGUAGUUGGUAAUAAUCCUUUUGAGCUUAUUACCUUUGUUAAGCUAUCACUCGACUGAUAGUAGGUAAUAUUCCUUUUACCUUUAUCUGGUUACCUUUGUCAAGUUACCACUUGGCUAGUGGUUGGUAAUCAUUCUUUUGAGUUUAUUACAUUUUUUAAGCUAUCACUCGAAUGAUAGUAGGUAAUACUCUUUUUACCUUUGACUGGUUACUUUUGUUAAGUUACCACUUGGAUGGUAGUUGGUAAUAAUCCUUUUGAGUUUAUUACCUUUGUUAAGUUAUCACUCGACUGAUAAUAGGUAAUAUUCCUUUUAUCCUUAACUGGUUACCUUUGUUAAGUUACCACUUGUGUGGUAGUUGGUAAUCAUCCUUUUGAGUUUAUUACCUUUGUUAAGUUAUCACUCGACUGCUAGUAGGUAAUAUUCCUUUUACCUUUGAUUGGUUACCUUUGUUGAGUUACCACUUGGCUGAUAGUUGGUAAUCAUCUUUUUGAGUUUAUUACCUUUGUUAAGAUAUCACUCGGGUGAUAAUAGGUAAUAUUCAUUCUACCUUUGACUGGUUACCUUUGCUAAGUUACCACUUGGCUGGUAGUUGGUAAUCAUCCUUUUGAGUUUAUUACCUUUGUUAAGCUAUCACUCGACUGAUAGUAGGUAAUAUUCCUUUUAUCUUUGACUGGUUACCUUUGUUAAGUUACCACUUGGCUUGUAGUUGGUAAUCAUCCUUUUGAGUUUAUUACCUUUGUUAAGCUAUCACUCGGUUAAUAGUAGGCAAUAUUCAUUUUACCUUUGACCGGUUACCUUUGUUAAGCUAUCACUUGGCUGGUAGUUGGUAAUCAUUCUGUUUUGGCUUAUUACCUUUGGUAAGCUAUCACUCGGCUGAUACAUAGGUAAUAUUCCUCUCCUAUUGGAGUCAGAAUUUUCCCCUAUUAAUGUUUGCCUUUCCUCGGAGAAGUCUUGCUUUGAUAAGUAUUCCCCAUUGGAUCUUUAGCUCGUUUUCUAACUGAGCAUGGGUUAUUCUCGAGUUCCCCCUCUACACCUACGGAACUUUGCAUGUCCUCAGUUGGGUACCCCUUUGGAACAUAUCAUUCCCCUACAGAAUUUCAGUCUUCUUUUUUCUCUAGCAAUUGUUUGUCUCUCGUGGCACUAUAUUCUCCACAGAGAUUCUUGUUUGCAUUCAUAUCAUAUCAUAAACAUCUUGCAGUAUCUUAGGGCAAAAAAUUGGAUCUUUAAUAUUUAAGUCUCUCUAAUCUUGUCUAGACGAAGAUUUCAACCUUCAUAUCUCCAAAUUGAAGAAACUUAAAUAGGGGAAUUUGUCAUACCCUAAUUUUUAACCUUAAGAUCUCACAUCUCAUUUGCAUUUUUUUUACAUACAAUCAAUGUCACAUUUUGGUCCUUCCCCUUGUCCAUCUUUGGUUUUGCUUUUGUAGGGAUCACCAAGCACCUAUUUGAUGAUGUUUUACUUAUGUUUAUUUGAUUCAUUUCUUAUCUAACCACUAAUAAAAAUACCGAAAACAUGUGUUGUUUCCCUUUAGUUUAUUGUCCAAGUUAGGGCUUUUAAAAUCAAGAGCAUCUCAAAGUUGGAUGGCUUACUUCUCAAGGAAAGUCAAAGGUUCAUGUGUUUAUUUCCAUGCCUUCUUCAAUAAGCAACUUCAAUCUUUGAGAAAUUUAAUUAAGAGGCAAUCAAAGACCUUAUCUUGAGUUCAUAUUAUUACCCAUGUGCUUUGAAAUUCAAGUAAAGUCCAAAUACCCAAGCUUGUUCCAAGUGGUUUGACCUAAAACUCAACAUUUUAAAGUCAAAGUUCCAAGGUUCACAACUCCUUCAAUCAACAUUUUGAAUUCCUCAUUUUUCAUAUGACUCUUCUCAGUAUCCUAUACAACUUAUCUUUACAUGAUAAGAUCCAAUUAUGCUUGGAGGAUCAUCAAAAGUUUGGAGACAUUAUAGGUCAUUUGUGGACUUAGUGAAAUUUGACCUAUUUUCAAGUGUCUUUUUCCCAAUUUUCAAGGAUCAUAACUUCUUCAAUUUUCAACAUAUGAAGCUUAUUAUUUUUUCAUAAUGCCAUUGGUGAUACCCUCUACAAGUUUGCUUCAAGGACCAAGGUCAAAAUAUGUUUGGAAGGCCAUGGAAUUCAUUGGGACAUUAUAGGUCAUUUUCAGCCAUGAAGCACUCAAUUUUUUCUAAGUUACAUAACCAAUUUUUCAUGUCAGCUUCAAUAUUCCAUAAUUUUGUGCUCAAACAUCCAAAUUAAACCUUUCUUGACACAUUGUAAUCUUGGUCAUGAUGUUAACACAUUUCAAAAAGAAUGGGAUCAAAAAGCCUCUUGAGUAGGAUGCUCCAUUGAGUUGAACAUGGUGACUUGGAAUUGAAGAAAUCACCAUUGCCCGAAAUUUGAUCAUGAAUAAUCUCAAUUCCAGUCUAAGUUAGAAAGUGUUUUGGUCCUAAACAUGUUUUAACAAGUCUCCAAAAGUUAAUUGACACUUAAAACACAUCAUUUGGUUGAGUUUUGAUGAGUUUUAAGUCACAUUUUUCACACAUUUGGAUCAAAUUUGUUUUGCAUGAAUUCUGCAUCAUUCCAUAUGUAUUUGGAUCCAAUCACAUUCCCUAUAAAUAAAGGAAGCUAUUGCCUUCAUUUGCAAGCUUUGGAGAGUCAAGAAACCCCUGCUCCAACUUGAAAUUUUUCCAGAAAAUUCAACUAUCGUUUUUUGAGUUUUAGCUUGUUUCAAUCCAAUUUCUUGAUUCCAUUAGCAUCUUCGGCAUCCUCUGAAAAUUUUGCAACAAUUCCCAAGCUCUAUGACCUCCUAAAGUGCCAUAACCAGACCGAGCUUCAUCAACCUCUGAUCACCAUUUAGACAAGGUAGUUUUGAGCAUAAUUUAAAUUCAAACAAGUUACCAUAAUGUAGUCCUUCACUCUCUGAUGCUUUCUCCUAACUUAUCUGGUUUUGAUUGAUCGUGUUCAUCAUUUAAUUUAAUUUUUCGUGGCUUGCUUGUUUCUGAAACUUCUCUAAAAUUCUCUUUGCUCAGUUCACAUAAAUGAAUUUGGAGUAUAAGGUUGAAUUCAGGAUGAGAAGAGGAUCACAACUGUGGUGGUCCCGUGUCUUGAAUUUACCAAACGAUGAAACUCCGGUGAGAGCACACCGAAGAAGACGACCAAAGUUUUCUUAGAUUGUCUGAAUUUGAACCAGACACGUUGGCAAAUUGAAAUGUUUUGAUUGGUUGAAUUUAAACUUGAUCAUGUGUUUGGCUUACAACGCGUUCCAUCGUGCAUCCUAACCUUUAGAGUGUUGGAUUUUCCAUGUCAAUUAAUGAGGCGUGGUCCAACACUCUGUGUUUUUUUUUAUUUUAAUUCUUUUUCUUUUAUUCUUUUUAAUUGCUUUUUCUUUAAAAAUUCAUAGUAAUUUCAUUUUUUAUCCAAAAUAAUUUCUAAAAUUCUCUUUUAUUUUUGUUCACCUGAUUUUUAUUUCAUUAAUUUCCUAUUUUUUCAGGAAUUUUCUCUUUUCUCCUUUGUUUUAAUUGGUUUAAAAAUAUUUUUCUGCAUUUUAAAAUUCUGAAAAUUUUAUUAUAUGUUUCUUAUUUUAUUUCCAAUCUUCCAUAAUUUUGUUGGCCAUUUAUUUAGUAUUUUGAAGGACUUUAUGGAUUUUCCAUUUUAUUUAUAUUUUUAAAAUUAUUUAAAAAUACCUUUGAUGCAUUUUUAUUUUAUUUAAUUACAUUUUAUAUUUGUGUGACCUUGUGAACUUCUGUUGGCCUUGGAUCAUGAUGGUUUGGACUUCAAGUCUCAUCAAACUCAAUGGGUCUUGGGUGUUGAUGCGGUGAAAACUCUAAUCCACAAAAAUGGAUGAUUGAUUUUGAUGAUGACUUGAUAAAUUUUUUGACCAAUUUGAGUAUGACUUCUCUUGAUUCCUUCUUCUUCAUCUCCUUCUUUUUCCUUUGAUAAAUUGGAUGACGUGUUCCCAUAUUGUUCAUGAUGUGUGGAUUGGUACUUGAUGAACUUUCAUCAUUUCAAAUCUACCUUAUAAGUGAUCAUGAAUCAUUUAAGAUAUUUUGGAUUGAUGCAUAAGUUUGUCCUAAGUUUCAUGCGGUGUGGAUUGAAGUAAUGGACUAUCCUCCUAGCCUUUGUGCUUGGUCAUCCCCUUUCUUUAUUUUAUUUUUGUGGCAUGACUUUAGGAGAAUGAUUUAUAUAUCAUUUCUCUAGCAUGUAUUAAUACAAAAAUUAUUAUUGACCGACCUCAGAUAGUUGUGACUUCUAGAUAAGUCCAAUUACGAUUUCUUAACAUAACACUAAUUUUGUCCCAAAGGCAAUGACAUUUUUAUAAGUGAGAUUGUAAGUCUCAAUUCCUCAUGGUAUUGCAUGAAAAUGUUGCUCCAUUUCCAUUUGUGAUAGUUAGUGGCAUACUUGUUGAUUUUAUCCAAGUUGGAUCCCUUCUCUCAAAUGAUGUAUAUGUUCAUAUUUUCAUGCUUGUGAGUGGAUAGUUGAGUGUUCUUCAAAAAAUGACCAAAAACAUCUUUUGAUCUUUACUAACAUCCCUUACUAACUCUUCACUUGUAUUAACUUCUAUUUUAAUGUUAUUCACUUUAUGAUUUUAUUUUUAUGUCAAUUAAUUUAUACUUUAUAUUUAGCAUUUCAUAUCAUAUUUGUUUGUGAUUAUGUCAUUUUGUUCUUUGUCCAUUUGGACUUUUCUUUUAUAUCAUUGUUAAGAAGACACUAAUAAAAAAACCUUUAAAAAAUCUUGUUUCACCUAACUCAUGGACUUGUGGUUACUAUCCUUGACAUCAUUGUGGAGUUAUGGACUUAGAAUUAGUAUCUUGACCCUUGCUUUGGGACUUGUGACUUAAAAACUUAGAAUUCAUUUGAUACCUAUGACUUUGGACUUCUCUGUGAAGACUUGGCUUGGUUACUUUUGUUUCAUCUGAUACAUGGAUUAUUAUUUGCUUAUCUUAGCUUGUUUGAGGCUUAAUCCAAAUGAGGGAAUUCUUGCUUGACUUAUGUCAUAAAUCUUGUUAUCUCUUGGUUAUAUCUUUCCUACCUAGCUUUUACUUUAUGUUUUAGGAUAGUCUCUUCUUCUCCUCCCCUUCUUUAAUUUUCAAAAUCUUCUCUCUUUUUCAAAACCUUCUUGCGUUUUAACUUGAACCACUUUCUCAAUAAACCUUGACUUUUGUCAAGUGAUAUUCAAAAACAUUUUUUUUUAUAAAUGCUAAUCCAUCUUAAGCAUACUCAGACCAAUUUUAAAAGACUAAAAAUGCAUAACUCAUCCAAACUAUUUUGUGCCCUUGUGCACUUUUCUCUUUAAAAAUUUCCUCAAGGCAUUAGACAUGAGCCAUUUUGAUAGUUGAGUUAUAAGUCUCCUAUCUCCAUAGUAUUAAUGAUAAUCCUUUUCUAUUUGUGAGAGCUAGUGGCAUACUUAUUGAUCCUCAUCCAAGUUGGAGCCCUUCUCAUGACGAUGCAAAUUUCUCAUACAUAUGGGUGACUAGUUGAGUAUUCUUCUUAAAAUAACAAAAUGCCUUUUCCAUAAAAAUGAAUCAAAACAAACUCCCAUUGAUAUUUUUACCACGAACUACGAGGUUUUGAUCCUCCAUUGCACUUUGUUGGUACGUAGGCAUGAGACUUCAAAAGUCUUGGCAAACAUAGAAAUAAAUAAAAAUGCUUAUCUUCCCAUCUCUCCAAUCUUUUAACAAACAACACUUUUUUUCAAAUCAAAAUGUACAUAUUUUCAAAGAGGUUCCCAUGGAGUACCAUGGAUGUUUAGGGUGCUAAUACCUUCCCUCUGCAUAACUACCCCCGGACCCUUGUUCUCUUUUUAUUAAUUUUGUUUUAAAAAAACUUCUUCGUUUGUUCGGGCUUUUUCCCUUUUCCUUUGGAAACAAUAAAAGCGUGGUGGUGACUCUUGCUUUGCGAGUUAAGUUAAUCAAUAACUUAAUCUCAAUAUGUUUUCUUUAUUAUCUAUUAAUUAUUUAAUUAUUUAUUUAUUUACAACAAAUAUUUUAUUAUUUAAGAGAAAAAGAUUGAAAUUACAAAAUGUGAAUGCAACUUGAGUUAGAAGUGUUUUGUAUGAUGUCAAAACUAGGAUACUUUAGCGUUAAUGUAUAUUGGACGGUAUCAUCUGAACCUCUAUGUGCAUCUUAACAUUAGGAAGCAUAAAAGUAUUUGGAAACAAUGUGGAAAAGGUCUUAUGCAUCAAACAUGCAUGAAAAAUCAAUUUUUGUGAAAAAUAGCAGUACAGGUCGACACAUGUAACUAUAGAUCGACACAUGUAACUACAGGUCGACCUAUGGAAAACUUUUCUUGGCUAUAGGUCGACACAUGAAGUCUAUAGGUCAAAACGUAUGUUGUUGUAUUAAAGCAUGUGGCCCCUGUUUCAUGUGUCGGGUCUUCAGGUCGACACAUAGGGAGAACAUAAUUGUCAUAGGUUGACACAUGACUUUGGACAGGUCGACCUACGCAUCAAACAUGUCGACACAUAACCUAUCCGAUAUAUUUUUUCAAAAAUUCAUAUUUUUCUCAAGUCCUUUGCAUUUUCUUUUUCCCUAAAUCAUCCAUACAUAUAAAUACUUCAUACAUGCAUCAUUAUCUAGUAAGGUUUCUAGAGUGAGUAAAACCUACAUGAAUCCAGGAUUUCAAAGCAUCUCAUCAUCUUCAAUUCAAUCUAUGCAUACAAUCAAUCAAACUACACAUAAUCAUUUUUUGACUGGGUGCCAUCUAGAUUAGGAUUGAUAACAUCCAAUUAGGUUUGUUGUACCGAGAAUAUUGGGUUGCGAUCUUUGAGGGAUUCAAAUAAGAAAACUGGUUUGGGGUUUUCCUUCAAGAUUGUGCAAUUCAGAUCGGAUCGAGUGAAAGCCUUGAGACUAGAUGUGUCGGGAAGGGAGUAGCGUGAAACGGUGGAUCAUGUUGACAAAUCUUGGGUUCAACAAGUGUGAACUUGAGAUUAAUUUAACCGGGUGAAAUCCUUACGACAAGGAGGUCAUGCAAGGAAGUAGCAACAACAGGUGAAUUAAAGAAACAUUGUUAGUAACUUGAUCAAUCUUGGAUCAAAGUUUUUAGAGGUGCUAGAGUCAAGAACAAACUUAGGGUUUGUGGGAUUUGAUUUCUCAUCUCUUGUAUUCAUACAUUUGAAAAGUAAGAUUUAUUAUAUUAAUAUCUCAAUUCGAAUUCGAAUUGAGGGAAGAAGUACCCAUAGUGAGGUCGAUUGAGGAACUGUCUAAACAAAUCCUUGCGUACUCUCUCUCUAUCUCUUUUAUUUUUCGGUUCAUAAAUUGUUAAUUACUUUGAUAUCUUGAUGAAUAUUGUUUGGAUAAUAACUUUUGAAUCAUUUGUAAAAUUUGUGUUGUUGGAGUAAUCAAAUACCAUUUGGUAGUGAUUGGAUUUCUAAGAACUACAAACAUUAUACUAAUAUCCAAACUUUGUUGAUCGCACGCAAAAUGUUCGACAAAUUGUCUCAACUAGUUUUUGUGUGUUAUUAUCAUUGGAGAUAGACAUUUACUAUAGUGGACUAUUCAAUUUAGUAUUCGAAGUAUUGAUUAAUCAACUUGUGAAUUAUUAUCAUACCAUUGGUAGUCAUACGCAUAUCCGGUCUUUUCAAUAAAAGGCUCGGUUAGACGAUUUUGGAUCCGGGAAAUAUUUGAAACUUGCUUCCGCGCCAUAAAUUUUUCUAAAUCAAAUUUUAGAAUAUUUUAAUUGGGAUAUAUUCACCCCCACCCCCACCCCCCACUCUAGAUCUAGGCCUAUCAUCUAACACAAAAGAACCUAACAGGUGUUUUAUUUUUAUAAUUGUACUCGCUAGAGUGCAAUGAUUCUAUGCUUAUGUACCCUCAUGUUAGAUGAAGGAUCAGAGCAUUGUAGUUCUUGUAAAAAAUGAUGAUUUAUUUUUUUUAUUUUUAUCCCUUGAAAAUUUCUCACGCAUCAGAGACAGAUAAGUAAUUGAUUUUGGAAAAAUGCCUUUAUGCACUUGGGCAAAGGACUUAUAAUUUGAUGUGAGUUUAAAUUGAUUUUAUCCCUUGAUUGAUUUGCAGAGAUAUAAUGAUUAAUUUACUUAAGAAAAUAAAUUAGUAAUGAUAUUAUUAAUUUACUUAAUAAAAAUAUUAAAAGGUUAAUCACAUAAAUCCAAGUAUUAUAUCCCUUAUCCCUGAUUUUUUAUCCCUAAAAUCUAAGAAAUUUAUCCCCAUUAUUAUCCCUAGAUUAUCCCAAAGGUUAAACCUGAUCCAUUAAUUAAUUAACAUUCCCUAAUUAAUCAAUUAAAAUUAACUAUUAAUCUAAUUAUGCUUAAUUAUUCUAGAGUUAACCCUAACCUAAUUUAAAUCCCUAAUUAUAUAUUUCUCUUUUUAUUCCAUGUUGAUUAUAACUAUCUACAUAAUUAUCUAAUUAUUUCUGUUAAUACCGUUAUUAUGUUAAUUAAACCCUAAAUAUGUUAAUCAUCCUUAACAUGUAACCCUAAUUAAUAAUUAAUAUAUGUUGUUUUGCCUUUGGUUGCAGGGACGGUUGAAGCUUUAAGCCCUAAAUAUGUUAAUCAUCCCUAACAUGUAACCCUAAUUAAUAAUUAAUAUAUGUUAAUCAUCCCUAAAAUGUAACCCUAAUUAAUAAUUAACAUGUAAGCCAAAUUAAUAAUUAAUCUUUGAAAACUUUUUCCGGUUUUGUGAAAACUUUGUUCUUUUUUUUCUGGUUCGGUUAAGCAAUGAAUGAUAAAGUGCAGAAAGUAAAGAACACAGAGAGAUAUCCUGGUUCCCCUUAUAGAUCGAGAGUACUCCAGUCCCCUUUCAAUAUGAAAGAGGUUUUACUAUUGUUAGGACUUUUACAAGACUCUUCCUAGUCUUUCUAUAAAGACACUAACAAUCACACCAAGAACAAUCCUCUUGGAUUUCACUAAGGUCAAAAAGAGAACAAUCCUUCCUUUUAAUGAACCUCUUGUUUCCAACAAUCCUGGACAACAAGACAAAGCAACAAUAUGAGUUUUUUUACAAGUUUUUGACAAAUGGAAUAAUCUAUCAAUCUAUUGAUUGAUAUUUUCCUUUAAAGUAAUCAAACUUCUUUAUGACAAACAAUUUCUCUAAUAAUGAUAUGGAUGAAACUAUAUGAAUAUGUAUGAAAAUUUUGUGUAAAAAGUUUCACCAGAAAAUUUGAUCAAGAACACUUGAAAUAAUUUUGAAAAGAUGAAUGAAGAAGAUUGUUUGAAAAUAUUUUGGGAGAAAGAAGGUGUGAUCAAAAUCUGCAGAAAUGUGUUAUAUAUAACCCUUAGACACCUCUCUAAAUGGUUACGUGACAUGAAAGGAUGUCAUGCUUCAAGAACACACUUCAAAGAAAAUUUUCAUGAAAGAAUGCAAUGUUUUCUGUCACUGGUUCAGUGGUAAUCGAUUACCCAAUAUGGUGUAAUCAGUUACACCUGAGCCAACAUUACAAAAUUUAAAAAAAUGCACCGUGUAAUCGAUUAACAAAAGGAUGUAAUCGAUUACAUGCUGUAAAAAUUGGCUUACAUGACAUAACUCAUAGCUGGUAAUUGAUUACCUUAAUGCUGGUAACCGAUUACCAUACAGGAAGACAGCAAAAUGCAUUUUGAAAUUAAAGUGACUGCCAAAUGAGAAAGGUUUAAGAGACCUAAACAGCCAACACAUGUAUGGCUGAUAAAAACUAGGGAACUUGACUUAUCAUAGAGAGAAUGAGAACUUAAUACCUUAACGCUUUGAUCGAACCAAUAGCAAUCUUCAAGACUUUGAAAUGCUUUUAAAAGAGACGCUUGUGCUUGAGUCUUGAGGCAUUUUUUUUGCAAUGCAUAUAUGUUAAGCAUGUCUUCAUCAAAACACUUUGAGAAGUUUGUCUUCAUAUUCUCUCCCUUUUUGAUGAUGGCAACUCUAUAUUUGACAAUUUGAUCCAAUUUUGAUUUCUCUAACAAAUGAAAACUCCCACUUGAUCGAAGCUCCCCCUUGAUUCAAGAUUAGGAUUUUUAAAGUGAUUUGCUAGCUGCAUUGUUAGAGAGAUAAAAUAUACAACAACCAAAAAUACAACUUCUCCCCCUUUGUCAUUAGCAAAAAAGGAUGGGAAAGAAGAAAACAAUAUAACACACAUAUAUGUUAUAGGAUGAUAAGGUAAAUAACAUGAACACAUACAUAGAUUGCAAAAUAACCUUAACACACAUAAUUCAAUACAACACCAAAUUAUUCAUAAAAACAUAAUUCUUAAGAGUAAAAUUCAGCAUAACAAAGGAAAACACGAAACAAAACAGAAUUAUUUUUAAAAACACUUUAAUCACUUUCCGACAUUCCCAUAUCCUCAUCGUUUUCUUCUUGAUCUUCAUCACUUUCAUCUUCAUCACUUAUCUCUGGGUUUUGGGAUUUUGUAAGGUUCUCCAAAAGUCUUUUGAUAGAAGCCAUUUCAAAAUUUUGCUCACGAUAAUUUUUCAUCAUAGUAGUCUCAACUAAGUAGAUUUUGUUGUAGAGAGCUUCAUUUGAAUAUCCGCCUUCAGGAGCCGGUGGAGGAGGUGGAGGAGCGUUGAAGAGGUUGAGGAUUCUUCCUUGUAUUUAUACGUACCAUCCAUGUCCAAAAAGACACUGGUAUUCCAAACCGAUGUUGAAACUUUGAUUUCACAUUCUCUUGCAUUCAUCUUCUUCUUUGGGUCCCUUUUCAGAUCAAUACCACAUCCUUCCAAGAUUUUGGAGAUUAGCCUAGCAUAGGAUAAUCCACCAGUUAGGAAUUGUUGAUGCUUCGUGUGGUACAUAAUGGUAUAUGCCCAAUUAACAUGAAUCUUGUUUUUGAUAGCAUAUAUAAGUUGUAAUUCCAGAUCACCAAUUUGAGAGUGAUUUGAUUGUUUAGGCAUCAAAACAAAGGAAAUUAGGUAAUGAAGCAUCCUAUCGCUUAAGGUCAGAUUCUUUGAAAACAAAAGUACCCGAGAAGAGGUAUAAUUCUUCUUACCAAGAAUAGCUUGCUGAGAGACACGACAGAUGUGAAAAAAAUAGUCCAUCUUACUAUAACCUUCCUAUUCCGGGACUAACUCUUGAUGAAAAGCUUGACCCUUAUACGGUAUUCCCAAACAGUUCCCAAAAGCUUCUAAAUCCAAAAUAAUUUCAGUAUUCUUAACCUUAUAAGUUAGGACAUCCUUAACACCAGGAAUAAUAACCAGAUUUGCAUAAAAAUCUUUAACCAAAUCCGGGUAAAAAUUUCCAUAAUCGGAAACCAUAGAGUAUACUCCUUGACGUCUCAAGAGAUCCAAAAAAUCAAAACUAUGAGAAGGAAAAAAGGAGAGAUUACCAUAUUUCACCGCCAUAAGGGACCGAUUCUGAAAGUCAAACGUAAGUCUCCUGGUUUUGAGGGAUGGAGCAUGUUGAGCAGAUUCUUGAUGUUCUCAGCUCCCUUCAUCAAUUUUGCUUUUGCCUUUAUAUUUCCUUGAUGGAGCCAUGAGAGUUGGAAAAGUUAGGGUUUUUUAGGAAGGAUUUGGAGUUUGGGGUUUGGAACGAGUUUGGGGAAGAGAGAGUGGAAAUAUAGAGAGUUUUGUAAUUGUGGUUUUAAUAGAGUUUAAGGUUAUGGAGAUAAAUGAGAGAGAAGAAGUUUGAAGGUUUAGGGUAGAUGAAGAGUGAUAUUAGGAAGGGAUAAAGGAAAGUUGUAAAGAAAGAGUAUAAAAAAUCUGAGUAUAAAUAUUAAAGAAUAAAAACACUUAUCCAAAAGAUACAUAUUUAAUUAAAAUAAGAAUUCUGGAAUGCUCAGGUGUAAUCGAUUACCCAGGGAGGUGUAAUCGGUUACACCAUAAAACAGAGACAAAAUGGAGUCACAUAACAAGGGUGUAAUCAAUUACACCCAAAAUGAUAAUCGAUUACCUCAUAAACAGAAGCAGUAGAAAAUCACACAUCAGAGAUGUAAUCGAUUACCUCCAGAAAAAAACAGUAACUUCACCAAGAUCACCAUGCAAUGAAAUUUAAAAAAUCAAUAAUUGCACAUGAUCUAACAUAUCCUUUGGCAACUUUAUGCGAGGCAAACAAGUAAUACAAACAUUAUAAGGACAUACAAAAUUGACUUUUUAUUCAAACUCAUGUAAGAAAACACAUAUAUUUCAAAAUAAAAGAUAUUGAGUAAGAAGAGAAUGUACCUAUGUAUUUGAAUUGAUUAGUUUUUGAAGAAUCAAAUGUCACAAUCAUCUAAAAUCCCAAGUUCCCUUCGAAUUUUGUAAAACGGUUCUCAUGCCAAUAGUUUUGUGAAGAUGUCAGCGAAUUGAUUAUGAGUAUCCAAAAAUGUGACUUCAACAUCUCCUUGAAGCACAUGAUCACGAAGAAAGUGAUGCCGAAUGUCAAUAUGUUUGGUUCUUGAGUGCAUGACCGGAUUCUUUGUCAUGUUUAUCACACUUGUGUUGUCACAACAUAGAGAAAUGCAUCCAAGACCGAGUCUCUAGUCACGAAGUUGUUACUUAAGCCAAAGUAUUUGAGCACAACAGCUACCUGCUGCUACGUAUUUCGCUUCAGCAGUGCUAAGAGAAACACAUGCUUGUUUCUUGCAAGCUCAUGAUACUAAUGCAUUUCUAAGAAUGUGACAUGUAUCACUAGUGCUUUUUCUAUCAAUAUUACUUCCUGCAUAAUCAGCAUUAGAAUAACCAACUAAAUUUCAAAUACUACCUUUGGGAUACCAUAGGCCGACAUUUGUUGUUCCUUUGAGAUACUUCAUGAUCCUUUUAACAACAGUGAGAUGCGAUUCCUUUGGAUUGGCUUGAAAACUCGCACAAAGACACACACAGAAUGUUAUAUCAGGACGACUUGCCGUCAAAUAGAGUAAGGAACCAAUCAUACCUCGCUACUUUAUGAUGUCAAUCGUAACACCUGAUUCAUCUUGAUCAACAUAAGAUCCGGAUCCCAUUGGAGUAGACAUUGCCUUGCAACUAUCCAUGUCGAAUCUUUUCAGUGACUCUUUGCAGUACUUUGAUUGAUUGAUGAAUAUGUCAUCCUUUAGUUUCUUAAUUUGGAGUCCAAGAAAAUAGUUCAUCUUACCCAUCAUGGACAUCUAGAAUUCUCCUUGCAUCAUUAAUGAAAAUUCUUCACACAUUUCUUUGUUUGUUGAGCCGAAUAUGAUGUCGUGAAUGUAGACUUGAACCAAUAAAGUGUUACCUUUUAUUUUCUUACUAAACAAGGUCUUGUCAAUUUUACCUUUUUCAAAGCCCUUUUUACAAAGAAAGUUGCUGAGACGAUCAUACCAUGAUCUAGGUGCUUGCUUUAGGCUAUAAAGAGCUUUCCUCAACUUGAAAACAUGUGAAGGAUUCUUGAAGUCUUCAAAGCCCGGGGGUUGUUUGACAUAGAUUUCUUCAUUGAUGUAGUCAUUCAAGAAUGCUCUUUUGACAUCCAUUUGGAAUAACUGGAAAUUUAACGAACAUGCAUAAGGAAGUAAUAAACGAAUAGCUUCUAACCUUACAACCAGAGCAAAUGUUUCUUCAAAAUCAAUGCCUUCCUCUUGAUUGUAUGCUUGGGACACCAAUCUUGCUUUGUUUUAAACAAUUAUACCAUUCUCGUUAAGCUUGUUCUUAAACACCCAUCUGGUACCUAUGACGUGUUUAUCACUUGGCUUAGGGACAAGUUCCCAAACUUGAUUCCUUUCGAAUUGGUUUAACUCUUCUUACAUAACAAUUAUCCAUUGGUCGUCACCUAAAGCUUCAUCAACUUUUGAAGGUUCAAUUUGUGAAACAAAAUCUAUAUUCAAGCAUGCAUCUUUGAGAUUUAAUCUUGUUGCAACGCCUUGACUAAUAUCACCAAUGACUUUAUCAAUUGGAUGGUCCCGAUGAGUUAUCCAUUCCUUAGGUAGAUCAUUGUCAUUUGUAAUUUGUUUAUCUUCCUCAUCUUGAUGUUUUGGUUGAUUAUCAUUGUUUCCACUUGAAGUAUCUUUUUGAGGAACUUCAACAAUAUCAUCAUCAUCAUCACACAAAAUAAUAUCCUCCUUGGGAGGGUUAGUUUCAUCGAAAUAAACAUGCAUAGAUUCUUCAAUAGUUAAAGUUCUUUUAUUAUAUAUUCUAUAAGCUUUACUAGUAACAGAAUAUCCAAGAAAUAUACCUUCAUCGGACUUCUCGUCGAACUUACCUAGGUUGUCUUUGUCAUUGUUGAGGACAAAGCAUUUGCAUCCAAAAAUGUGAAAGUAAGAGAUGUUUGGUUUCCUUCCUUUGAAGAUUUCAUAAGGGGUGUUUUUCAAGAUAGGUAUAAUAAUAAUUCUAUUACUUAAAUAACAUACCGUGCUUACCACAUCCGCCCAAAAAUACUUUGGAAGAUUUGAGUCGCUAAGCAUUAUUCUUGCAAGUUCCACAAGUGACCUAUUAUUUAUCUCCACCACUCCAUUUUGUUGAGGAGUUCUUGGUGCUGAGAAAUUAUGAAACAUUCCAUGUUCUUCGCAAAACUCUUUGAAGGGGGAAUUUUGGAAUUCUCCACCAUGGUCGCUUCUUAUGGAGGCAAUAGUUAGAGAUUUCUCAUUUUGAAUUUGCUAUGCAUAUUUCUUGAACACCUUGAAUGCAUCACUUUUCUGCACUAAGAAGAAAGUCCAAGUGUAUCUAGAUAAAUCAUCAACAAUAACUAAAGUAUAUACAUUACCUCUGAAGCUUCUUGUUCUUGAUGGACCAAAUAAGUCCAUAUGCAAUAAUUAUAGUGGCCUUGUAGUGGACACCACAUUCUUUGAUGUGAAAGUUGAUUUGGUUUAUUUUCCCUUUUGACAUGCAUCACAUAUUCUAUCUUUGACGAAUUUUAUCUUAGGCAAUCCAGUAACAAGAUCAUGCUUUAUAAGUUUAUUCAAAUGUUCCUUAUGAAUAUGAGUGAAUCUUUUAUGCCACAUCCAUGACUCAUUAUUAUUUUCCAUAAGACAUUUUACCUUCAAAGACACAUCAUCAAGGGAAAUCAUAAAUAUAUUAUUAAAUCUCGUACCUUUGAGUUUUACCUCAUAUGAUACUUCAUCUUCAAUCAAGCAUUCAUCCUUGGUGAACUUGAUUUUGAAGCCUUUAUCACAAAGUUGGCUAAUACUUAGAAGAUUGUGCUUUAGUCCUUCAACAUAAAGGACAUCUUCAAUGGAUGUGAAAGGCGGUGCUCCAACUUUGCCUAUACCAAGAAUUCUCCCUUUGUUGUUAUCACCAUAUGUGACAUAACCCUUGUCCUUUAAUGCUAGAUUUGAAAAUUUGUUAAUAUCUCCCGUCAUAUGCUUGGAACACCCACUAUCAAGAUACCAAAGGUUUGAUGUGGUUUUCAAGCAUACCUACAAAACAAAAUUACGUUUUGUUAGGUACCCAAAUUACUUUGGGUCCUUCAUAAUUAAUGUCUUUCUUUACCCAUACGUAAUGCCCACUUGCUAUGUUAAAAUUUCUAACAUAGCAUGCAUUAGGAGUAUGGCCAACUAUUCCAUAAUAAAAACAAGUAGGUUCAAAGUUGCUUUUAUAUCUAGGAACAUAAGAUUUAUUUUUAGAAAAUCUUUUUCUUUUAGGAUAGUGAUGAACAUCUUUUGCCUUGUCCACUUUCUCUUUGGUUGGUGGUCAUUAGAUUUAACAAAGAUAGUUUUACUAGAACUUGGUUUGGAAAACUUUAAAUAACCAAGUCCACUUUUGUCAUUGGAAUAUCUUUGUUGGCUAAGGACACCUCCCAACCCAAUUUGUCCUUUCUCGUACCUUUCAAGAACCCUUUUUAAUUGGACAAUUUGGAAAGAAAGUGAUUCACAAUUUUAUAUACAAAAUUCUGUUUUUCACUAAUCAUCUUUUGUUUUUCAUCAUCGAUAUCUUUUCAAUUGUCAUGACUUUUUCUUCUAGAGAUGAAAUUGUUUUCUUUUGAGAUGAUAUUAUUUUAUACAUAAUUUUUCAUUCUUUAAGAAGUUUAUUUAUAUCACCUUGUGCAUCACUAUCGAAAAGAGAAAAAUUUCUACUAACCUCAUUUUCUUCAUCGUCAGAAUGGUGUGAAGCCAUUAAUGCUAAAUUUGCACAUUCGUCGCUUUCUAAUUCGGAUGAAGAACUUAUCUCAUUAUCUUCCCAUGCAAAAUACUCCUUUUUAUUCUUGAAUUCCUUCUUGCCUUUAAAGCCACCUUUCCUUGAAAGUUUCGGACAAUUCGGCUUUAUAUGACCUUACUUUCCACAUUCAUAACAUGUGACAUCUUGCGUAGAUGUGGAAGCCUCCCUUUUCCUGAAAUGUUUAUUUCUUUUUGAAUAAAAGGAUUUGUCAUUUUUACCAAAAAACUUACCAAGCCUUUUAACAAGGAGCAUGAAAUUUUCAUCUUCCUCUGGUGCGCCAUCAUCUUUAUCUUCCUUUAAAGCAAUUGCUUUGGAUUUCUUCUCUUGACUUUCAUGCUUUUCAAGUCUUCCAAGUUCAAGUUCAUGUUCUUGGAGUUUUCCAAAUAAUGAUGUGGACGUCAUAGUAGAAAGACUUUUCUUCUCCGAUAUGGCUGUUACUUUUGGUUGCCAUUCUCUAGUAAAGGAUCUUAGCACUUUAAGAUUGAGAUAAUCAUUUGUAAAGGUUUUUUCGAGAGAAAUUAAAUAAUUCAUUAAGUGAACAAAUAUUUUCUGUAAUGCAACAAUGGAUUCUCCGGGAUGUAUUCUGAACAUUUCAUAUUCUUGAGUCAAUGUGUUUAAUCUGGAUCUUUUAACUUCAACGGGUCCUUCGUGAGUCUCCACCAAAAUGUCCCAUAUUCCUUUAGCCGAUUUACAUUGAGAUAUGCGGAAGAAACCAUCCAUACUUAAUGCAUUUUGAAGAAUAUUGAUAGCUUUCUUUUCAUUAAGUAUUCUUUUCUUAUCGUCUUCAUCAUAUGAACUUUUAACCUUCGGAGUGCCAACACCAUUGACCACACUCAUAGGAUUAUGCAAACCAUUUUCAAUGGUUUCCCAUAUACCAUCUCCUUGUGCUUCUAAAUGUGAUUUCAUGCAAAUUUCCAGAAGUCAAAAUAUUCUCCAGAAAAUAGAGAUGGUUUGUUGCUACUAUCGCCAUCUUUGAAAACCGGGUUUACGCUUGCGGAAGCCAUCUCUUGUAUCAGAGGAGCAAGUUAUCAAUAACCCGCUCUUAUGCCAAUUGUGAAUUGAGUAUACGCCUAAGAGGGAUGGGGGGUGAAUUAGGUUCUUUGAAUUUUUUUUCCAGUUUUAUGAAAACUUUGUUCUUUCUUUUCUAGUUCGGUUAAGCAAUUAACGGUAAAGUGCAAAAAGUAAAGAACACGGAGACAUAUCCUGGUUCCCCUUAUAGAUCGAGAGUACUCUAGUCCCCUUUCAAUAUGAAAGAGAUUUUACUAUUGUUAGGACUUUUACAAGACUCUUCCUAGUCUUUAUAUAAAGACACUAACAAUGACACCAAGAACAAUCCUCUUGGAUUUCACUAAGUUCAAAAAGAGAACAUUCCUCUCUUUUAAUGAACCUCUUGUUUCCAACAAUCUUGAAUAACAAGGACAAAACAACAGUAUGAGUUUUUUACAAGUUUUUGACAAAUGGAAUAAUAUAUCAAUCUAUUGAUUAAUCUUCUCCUUUAAAGUAAUCAAACUUCUUUAUGACAAACAAGAGAUCUAAUAAUGAUAUGGAUGAAACUAUAUGAAUAUGUAUGAAAAUUCUGUGUAAAAAGUUUCACCAGAAAAUUUCAUCAAGAACACUUGAAAUAAUUUUGAAAAGAUGAAUGAAGAAUAUUGUUUGAAAAUAUUUUUUGAGAAAGGAGGUGUGUUCAAAAUAUGUAGAAAUGUGUUAUAUAUAACCUUUACACACCUCUCUAAAUGGUUAUGUUACAUGAAAGCGUGCCAUGCUUCAAGAACACACAUCAAAGAAAAUUUUCAUGAAAGAAUGCAAUGUUUUCUGCCACUGGUUCAGUGGUAAUCGAUUACCCAAUAUGGUGUAAUCGGUUACACCUGAGCCAACGUUACAAAAUUUGAAAAAAUGCACUAUGUAAUCAAUUACCAAACGGAUGUAAUCGAUUACAUGCUGUAAAAAUUGCCUUACAGGACAACACGCAUAGCUGGUAAUCGAUUACCUUAAUGCUGGUAACCGGUUACCACACAGGCAGAAGGCAGAAUACAUUUUGAAAUUAAAGUGACUGCCAAAUGAGAAAGGUUUGAGAGACCUAAACAGCAAACAUAUAUAUGGAUAAUAAAAACUAGAGCAUUUGACUUAUCAUAGAGAGAAUGAGAACUUAAUACCUUAACACUUUGAUCGAAUCAAUAAUAAUCUUCAAGACUUUGAAAUGCUUUUAAAAGAGACGCUUGUGCUUGAGACUUGAGGCAUUCUUUUUGUGAUGCAUAUAUGUUAAGCAUGUCUUCAUCAAAACACUUUGAGAAGCUUGUCUUCACAUUCUCCCCCUUUUUGAUGAUGACAACUCUAUAUUUGACAAUUUGAUCCAAUUUUGAUUUCUCUAACAAAUGAAAACUCCCCCUUGAUCGAAGUUCCACCUUGAUCAAAGAUUGGGAUUUUUAAAGUGAUUUGCUAGCUACAUUGUUAGAGAGACAAAAUAUACAACAACCAAAAAUACAACUUCUCCCCCUUUGUCAUUAGCAAAAAGGAUGAGAAAGAUGAAAAUAAUAUAACACAUAUAUAUGUUGUAGGAUGAUAUGGUAAAUAACAUGAACACGUACAUAGAUAACAAUAUAACCAUAACACACAUAAUUCAAUACAACACCAAAUUAUUCUUAAAAACAUAAUUCUAAAGAGAAAAAUUCAGCAUAACAAAGGAAAACACAAAACAAAACAAAAUUAUUUUUAAAAAACACUUUAGUCACUUUUCGACAUUCCCAUAUCCUCAUCGUCUUCUUCUUGAUCUUCAUCACUUUCUUCUUCAUCACUUAUCUCUGGGUUUUGGGAUUUGGUAAGGUUCUCCAAAAGUUUUUUGAUUCCCGUAUUCUUUUUGCAAUGCAUAUAUGUUAAGCAUGUCUUCAUCAAAACACUUUGAGAAGCUUGUCUUCACCAAUUUUUUUUUAAGUAAUGUCUAACCACAACUUACUUGUGUGACAUUAUUGAUCUCAACAUGACCUCCACCAAGUGAAUGGGCUUGCAAGUCAUCUUGCUAAGGAAUAACUCCACACAAGUCAACAAGACUAUGUCAUUCUCCUAUCCUAAGUGCACUCGAGUUCGGGUAUAGAACUCAUCUCACAAACAGAACCAGCAGAUACGGCAGUCACAUGUACACAAUGCAAUAAAGCAGGUAAAUGCUGAAAGAUAAAUAACUGUAACGGCAGUCACAUGUACACAAUGCAAUAAAGCAGGUAAAUGCUGAAAGAUAAAUAACUGUACAAAAGAAUAAACACCCAAUAAACAAACAACCUACAAAAGCUAGGAGGGACUCGCUUAGGGAAACCGGGCCCCCAGCAGAGUCGCCAGCUGGCGCAACCUGAAAAAUGGAAUGCGAAAAAAACAACCGGCGAAGAAAGACAGGAGAGUCGCCACUGUGCGUUAUUUAUCCCAAAGGAGGGAAAGGAAACGCUCGAAGUAAACCUGGAAAAAGGAAAGGACAAGACAUGGUCUCGCAACCAAAUCUUGGGUUCGAGAGUCGAUUAUGCGAAGGGAAGGUAUUAGCACCCCUACACAUCCGUAGUACUCUACGGGAUCCACUCUUGUAGUUCUUGUCUAAAGGUUGUGGGUUUAUCUAAUGUGUUAUUUACUAAAAAAAAGGGGUCAAAAGAAAAUGACUCGCACGGAUGUCGCAUCCACUGCAUACGUAUCUCAUCUGAAUAUGAGAAUCAGAGUCUUCGUAGCUCGGCUAGUCAAAAGAAAAUGACUCGCACGGAUGUCGCAUCCACUGCAUACGUAUCUCAUCUGAAUAUGAGAAUCAGAGUCUUCGUAGCUCGGCUAUCUAGGGGUUAAGGGUAAUUGUGCUCGCUAAGACAUCGCGUCUUAUGCCUACGUAUCUCAUCUGGAAUGAGAAUCAGAGCAAGCCGUAGUUCGGCUAACUACGACUUAUGGAUUGGAUUUUGGACGAACGACGUUACUACGCAAUCUACCAGAUGCUCGACCUUUGGAGACUUACUCGCCUAUAGCAGAAGGAGUUAACAUGUUCUUAGGAGAAGAAAAAUCAAUGAGUUGGUAGGGUUAAGGAUGCUCAUGCAAAAGGAGUCCUGGACAAAGGAACCUGCAUAAAGUAAACACAAAAACAUUGCCUCCUAUCGAGGUCUUCCAGCUAGGAAAACAGUAAAUUGCGGAAAAAAUGUAAAAGUACCACACGGAUAAAGAUCCAAAGUAACAGCAAUUAGAGGAAUGGGAAACCCAGAGAUCCUCCCUAGCUAACACCAUCAAAGAAAGUGAGUCAGUACAGGUAAUCGGAAUGAAACCUCCAGGCGGUAUCCCACAAAUAAAGUGGAACACCAGGCAAACCAUCUCUGCAAGAGUCAUAUGAGCCCUCACAAAACAAAACUCAACAAACAGGUUAGAGAAACAAAAUAGGUAACCAAGAGUGCCCCCAAAUCAAAAUGUAACCACAUGAAAUCAUGAAAUUAAAAAUUCACAAAACUCACAAACAGCAACCAAGGGUUAGGAGGCCUAAACCUCUUGUAAACAACAUUGCUACAAAAGGGUAAUCAAAAUUCACCCCAAAUCACAUCAUACAUUAGAGCCAUUAAAUUAAAAGGCAUAAAUGAUGAUGGAUAUAAGGCACCUGAUUGGAGAAUCGCUUGAAAUCAAAUGGCACGGGCUGGAUUGCAAUAACCAAUGUUAAGGGUUUGUCUUGCAGCUGAUACAGUGUGUGAGUCAGAAUAGAACCUUUCAGAGUAUGCCUGUUCAGGUUGCCUGCAGAUUAAUUUCACUCUCUCUGUCUAUUCUCUUCACGUUUGCUAGGUUUUGUUCCAGGAAACUCAGAGUUGUUUGUUCUUUCCUUUUUCUGUCGUUCUCCACCUCUUUUAAACUAGAUUUUCAUGUCUUGUGGGCUCAAAUGAGAGAGGUCCAAGUCCAAGACGUAUUUUUCUAUUAUAUUAUUUACUUUUAUUUAUUUAAUAAUUUUUAAAUACUUUUUUUUUUAUUAUUUAUUGACUUUUUUUCGUUCGUUUUUUUGCUUGCCAUAACACGUGGCGCUUCGACCUAGCGAGCAUGACGCUCAUGAAGAAACUUUGCUCCUUCAAGAUUAACGUUUUGACUGACGAAUAGACCUCCUGUGACAGAUAACUCGUAAUCUUUCUUGUGUUGACUCGUCAUCUAAAUAGAAGCACAAAUGUCCUGGUGAUGUCAAAGCUUCCUUGAGCUAAUUCCACCGAUAUUAACAUGAUGAAUGCAUGUAUUAAUGUGUAAAUGACCUAAAAAUGAAUGCGUGAAAUAAAAGGGCCAAAUUUUGGGUGUACAGCGCUGCCCCUAUUCAGUCAAUCAGCUAACCUCGAGCAGGAUUGAAGCCGAACAAUCAUUAUCAGACAAACAGGCGUGGCUGUGAUUGAAUACCAAAGACAGACCGAAAAUUUUUGCGCUCCGAGAAUACCUCAAAAAAUGCUGAAAUACCCGUGUUUAUUUCGUCUUCGCAUCCUCUGGCUUGAAUAUGAAUCAGUCUGUCACUUAAUCAUGGAGUUUCGAUCUCUGACAGAAUCUAUACUCAAUUUAGUCAUCUGGUUGGAUGUUAAUUUUGAAUCUCGGCUGGAUACGGGUUUCAUUUCUGGCUAGAAUCUCUUUCGAUCUUCUGGCUAAUCUUCUCGAUCUUCUGGCUAGAUCUCUCUUUGUUUCAGAUUCUCGGCUGAAUCUAUUUUCUUUGAUUUUCUGGCUGAUCUACUUUCGAUCUUCGGCUAGAUACUAAUGUUUCGAUUCUCUUGCUGAAUCUAUUUUCGGUCUUCGGCUAGACCUGACUUCGAUCUCUUGGCUAGAUUCUUUGUUUCGAUUUCUCUGGCUGAAUCAUAUUUCCGGUCUUCUGGCUAGACUGAAUUGUUUUCCGAUCACUGGUGAAAUUAUUUUCGGUCUCGUGUAGACCUGAUUCGGAUCUUCUGGCUGAGUCUUCUUCGAUCUUCGGCGUAGAUCUAUUGUUUCGAUUCUCUGGCUGAAUCUAUUCGAUCUGUCUGCUAGAUCUGAAUUGUUCGAUUCUCUGGCUGAAUCUAUUUUUUCUUUGAUUCUCUGGCUUGAGUCUAAUCUAUUUUUCUGUCUCGGGCUAGAACCUGACUUUUGAUCUUCCUGGCUUAGUAUCAGGGUAAGGAAUUAAUUUUGAUGAUAAAUUCCAUCAUCAGGAUCUCGCAUCCGAGGCAUGCCGCUGUUGACUCUCCUUUCGAAUCCUGAAGCUCCAAUCUGCAAUUGUUAGAUAUGCAGCUUCGAGAAUAUCCCACUUUUGGGCUUCGUACAUAUUCUUCAGGCUAGAACAUGUUAUAACGACUCUUCGAUUAGACUUUGUUUUUUUAAUGCGAUCCGCGGGCUGGAUUCUCUUGUAGGUUGAUUUUCUGUUGAGCCGUCAAUCUAUUCCUCCAGCUGGCUUGCUGGGGAAAUAACGCUCGCAGUCGACUCUCUGGCUGAAUCUUCGAAAUGACCCUCAAGCUAGAUCUCUGGAAAACGAUUCUCAGCUGAAUCUUUGAAAUGACCCCCAGGUUGGAUCACUGGAAAACGAUUCUCAGGCUGAAUCUUCAAAAAUGACCCUCAGGCUGGAUCGCUCACACUUGAUCCUCUGGCUGGAUCUCAUGACUCUGGUUGUAAAGCAAUUCUUCAGUCUACUUUGAAGGACCUGUUUAUCAGCUUACGUGUAUGCUUGAUAUGAUAUGCAUGCAAAUGCAAAUGUUAUGCAUGGUGUAAAAAAGAAAAAAAAAGAAA